rnacentral:lncRNA from 1 species
CCAAUUUCAUUUUCCAACAGCCGCACUCUCUCUCCCUCUCUCUCUACAAUCUCUCUCUAAAACCUUCUCUCCAUCCAUCAAUGGCUGCCGCCGCCGGUUAGCCUCCACGGCUCGCCUCUCGCCGUCCGAACCUUUUUUCUUUCUCUCGUCACCGGCGAACCCCACUGGAUUAGCCUACGAAGCUACCGGAAAACUGGCACCCGUAACCCGACGCCGCCGCUGCUCCGGUCGAACCAACAGUCCUCCCCGUCGCCAGCCGCUACUCCGGUCGAACAACAGCCCUCCCCGUCGCCAGCCGCCACAACAGCAACGGCGACUAACCAAACAGCCCCUCCGACGUCUUUCUCAACAGCCGCCAGCCUCCUCCGCACGGUCAGCCCGAACCAGCAUCGCGACCACCAUAGCUUGUGAACCAUCCGUCACUGUCUUCCGUCGCUGCAACUCCAGCUGGCCGAACCAACCGGAGAAGGCUCCACUUCUCCAUCGCCGAUCAAGCUGCCACAAAUUUAUUCUAUUUUUCCUCACCGGAGGUGAUGACCGGUGAGGUAUUGAUUGGUAACCUCUCCGAUAUUGGCUGAUUUUGGGAAUCAUCACAGGUUCUGCCUUAUCUACUUUUGCUAUUGUUAAUCUUAUAUCUUUCUUUUGUGAUUUGAAAUGGACUAAACUUAAUUGAUGUUCUUGAUUUUGAGGUUUGUGAUUUGGGUUUAUUGACAUGUUUAGGUUCUCACAUAGUUGGUGACCCUUACUUUUAUCCUCAAAAUUUAAAAUAAGUGGCCGAUUGUUUUUUAAUUCUUAAAUCAUUAUUCUUGUUUUCGAAUUGUGUUCUUUUUGAUUUGCUUAACAUUGAUGGAAAAUUUGUUUCAUAACUUACAACUAUACACUUAGCGUUUGUAACAGAAAUGGUUGAUUUCAUUUUUUCAUUCUUGACUGAAUAUUAUGGAACUGAUUGAGUAUGUAAUUUUGAUGAUUUGAGUUGAUUUAUAAUGGAGUUACUGUGAUUAAGGAAUCUCUUUCCUGAUUAAUUGCUUUUUACAUUUUAAAUGACCAGUUGUAUUCCUUAUAAUUUUUUCAUAUCUAUUUAAGGUAAAUUAGACAAAUUUUCACUUCCUAAUUGAUUAUUGAUUGAUUCUAAAAUAUUUUUCCCUUCAUUUUUUCCUUGAUUGAUUCGGUUGGUUUAUUUAUUUAAGGAAUAUAUAUAUUAUUUUUCCUUUUAUUCUCUUGGGCUGAAUUUUACAUAAUUGAUUAUAUCAUUUGUUUAAGAAAAAUAAUCUCCUUGAUUGAGUAAUCAAAUAUUCCCUUUCAUUUAAUCAUACACCAUUCUAUGCCUGUAAAAACAAACCCUCCUCAUUUUGGAGAAACAAGUUACAACACACGACAUAAUUUUCUCUUACUAAAAGCUUAAAAUAAAGAAGACGCAAAUUUACUUUUUUAUUUUUUGCGCUCAUUUCUGGAGCAUUAAUAUUGAUCUUUCGGUGGCAAUCCAUUCUCGAAUCUUUGGCUGUUUGACGUUAUUUUCUUUUAUACCUUAUAUGAUGAUGCUAGUAAACAUGCUUAUAGGAAUCAUUUGGUAUUUUCUUGCUAUGUCUGUGUCAUGUUCUAUUCCCGCUUGUAUUGCUAUUAGUCUCGGCUAUUUGAAGAAUUGCUGAAAGUUCACGGGGGAGAGCUGCACCUUUUCUUUCUUUGUUUAUUUAUUUGUUUUUUAUUCAUGGUGUUAUAAUAACUCAGUAUAAAUGUUAUUAUUUUGUAAUAAUAAAAUUUGGGGACUGCUUCGGGAGGUGGGGACUUACGUGUUCUAUGAAUAGUAUAGAUAGGCACGACUUAGAUUUUACGUAUGUUACGUGCUAAGUGGAUCAAGUUAGGCACACAAAUCUAGGAUUUAUUAAUACAUGUAUCACUUUGACAUUUAAUCUACUUAUUAAUUCGAUUAGAAAUCUUGAUUUAAGGAUUAAAAUGACAUCCGUCAUGCUAAAUUAAAUUCAUGCAUAUUAAUAUAUUUUUAUCAUGUUAAACAUUUGAAUUUUGCAUGUCAUUGUAUGUUUAGCAUGUUAAUACGAAUUUAAGCAUAUUGGUGUUUUUGAGCAUGUCAACAAUUAAAUUUUCACAUAUUAAUACAUUUUAUCAUUUUUAGCAUGUUAAACAUUAAAAUUAAUUAUGUCGUCUAGUAUGUUAACACAAAUCUAAGCAUGUUAAUAUUUUAGAGCAUGUUACAUAAAGUUUGUGUGCAUCAAUAUAUUCUUCAGCGUGUUAAAAUCGCAUAUCUGCAUAAAACAAUUAAAUUUCAGCAUGUUAAAAUUACAUUUUUGCAUAAAACAAUUAAUUACCAGCAUGUUUAAACAUUAAUUAAAGCAUUUUCAGCAUAUUAAAUAGUGGAUUAAGUAUGUCAUUGUAUUUUUUGGCCUAUUAAUGCAAUUUCAGCAUGUUAACAUGAAAUUACUGUGCAUUAGCAUAAUUUUUAGCAUGUUAAAAUAUUGAUUUUAGGUAUUUUUAGCAUGUUAUUGCAUUUUUCAGCAUAUUAAUAUGAAAUUUCUGCACUAUUAGAAUAAUUGUCAAUAUGUUAAAAUGUAGGUUUUUGUUUAGCAUUUUCAACAUGUUAAACACUAGUCUAAGUACUUCAUUGCGUUCCUUAGCAUGUUAAUGCUCUUUCAAUGUUUUGUUAUAUUCUCUUUAGUUUUAUAACACUUGCAUAAUGAAAUUCGUGAGCAUAAUUUUUUGACACAUUUACCACACUUUUGACACCCUCUUUUAACAACUUGAUAACGUAUUGUUACAUACACAAAUCACAGUUACCUUUUAUUGUAUUAAUCAAUUGUUGAACACUUAGAUAUCAUGCCCAUAGGUUAAAGACACAAAAAAAUAUUCGUCUUUACAUAUUUAUCACAUUGAUCAACUCUUUAAUAAUCAAGGGGCUAACGUGAGACAUUACUUGCUACUUGACGUCCAAUGUGUUAUGCAUUUUGAGUCCUAAGCAACAUAAUUUUAUUUUGUUUAGACCACAAAUCAAAAAUUGCAAAGUUCAAUGCCUCUUGGACGAUAUAGACGGGACGAUAGGAAUUACUAAAAAUGUUAGUUUUAUCCUUGUACUAGAACGCCGACUGUUAGUCAUUCGGAGGUGAUGAUCUCCAACCUACAUUAAAGGUAAGACAUAUAUGACUUGUCUAAGAGUUGGUCAGUGGAUCAGAUGAUGAUUAAACAAGUUCGGGUUCUGACCCGAAUGAGACCAAAACAUUUCUUUGUUUGAUUUGACGAAUUCUUUUUAUUCUUUUGUUUACCUUACAUGCUUAUUUAUUUGGGGUAAUUAGUUUGUUAUCUACACAGCCUUCUUUUGUUAUAAAUUAUGUCAUUUCUUUCUCCUCGCUUAUCUUAUUAUAUGUUUUUAUCACUUAGAUAAUUAACAAUUAGAAAUAAUAAAAUAAUAUAUUUGGUUCAUUAAUUGUUUUAUCACUUAGUUAAACAUUAAGUUAAUAAUAAAACUAGAGACUUUUAUUUGAUCACAUAAAGUCCCCACGUAAAAUAUGAAUUCGAUCGGGAACCAUCUUUGUGGACCUCGAAAGGUGCCUAACACCUUUCUUUCGAGAUAAUUUAAACCCUUACUCAAAUUUUUGGUGAACUAAGACAAUAACAAAAUAGGUUCGUAAUAGCCUAGACCGAUGCCCUAACACACCUUAAUUCGUUAGGUGGCGACUCUUCACACUCUACCCUCAAAACAAUCCCAAAAAGACUGGUCACAUCGAAUUCCACUUUCCGCGAGGAAAAUGGGAUGAGAUAGGAUGGCGACUCCAUUGGGGACCUUAGGUUCUAACCAUUACGAAUUUGUGUUUUAUGUGGGAUUCUACUACUUUCUUUGUUUUAUUGUUCUAUAAUUACUUUACCGUUUUUUUUAAUUGUUUAUAUCAUGAUUAAUAUAUACAUGUUAGUCCCUUCUCCUUUCCCUUUAUGUGUUAUUUACAUUUCUCCAUGUCUAUCCCUUUCCCCUUUCCUCUUUUAUUGUUAUGUGUUAUCAUGUUUAUUUAUAUAUAUACUGUUUAGCAUGUUACAUUUUGCUAUGUGCUAUGUGUUACUGCUUUAUAUAAUUGACAUUCCAUUCAUACUCUCCUCCACUUGAAAACUUUUUUUUGUUUUCUUUUUUACGAAUGGUUGCAUGAAUACACAGAUGUUUUUUCCUAAAACACCCUUCAGAAAAUGUCUUGUGGAUCGGUCGAUCAGCGGUGCGUUGACAGUCACAAGCUCUCCCACUCUCGAGUUGUCCACCCGAGGGAACCAUGUCAUGAAUCCACUCUUAUCCUUUAGGUCUUGGCUACAUAUUUCCUUCACUAAGGAUUAUGCGUCCCAUUCAACGUAGGAUGCCUUGACAUCCUUGACGCGUUGAAUGUUAGUCUCAUUCAAAGUCCAAAGAGGUUCACGACCUCAAAGGGACUCACAAUUAUUUGCUAUGUGUUGCAUUUCUAUGUAUGUAUUGAUAUUUUGCCUAUCUUGUUGUUUCCGUUUUUGCCUUAGUCACUCCUUACAUUAGUGUGCCUCACUUAAUAAUUCUUUACUCUUCAAAUUCUUAUCAUGUUAGGACCCUGCAAUACACUCUUAGGGCCUAUUCAAAAGCCUCAAAUUCAUCCCCAUUUGCUAUUCGACUUCUACAACUCUCAAAAUUUUGAACUACGUCUGACUUGAUUCUUGUUCCAACAAGAUAUGUAGGCAAUCCUUUGUAAGGAUGCAGUCUUCCUUUUUCCUUUCAUUUACAAAACGUCCUAAUAUUUGAAAAUGUGAAACAAUCAUUAUCAUUCCAACAAUUCUUCUAUCAAAUCAUAUUCUCCAUAUCUUUCACCUUUCCAUAAUGUCAUAAGGGUGCAACUUAGAAAUUUUUUAUUUAAAUGACUUUUCACAAUCUUUCAAACUCUCAAACAUUUCAAACUAAAUACUUUAAAAUGUUCAACUUUGUCAAUCUUCAAUUCUCUCAUUUAUUCAAAACAAUUUCUUUAAAUAUUGUAUCUCUACAAUAUAUUAUCAUUAUUCACUUGUUCACUCAAUUAGCUUCAAGUAUGAAUUUAGUAUCUAAGUCAUUGUUAGAAUCUAUCUUUCAUCCUGUGAUAUCAAUUCAUUUUUUAAGCUUAAAGUUCUAGCCCACCCAUUCGUCCUAAAGUCCUCCUUGACAAAAUGACUCAUAUCGACAUACUAUCUCUUUUCUCAUUGAGCACGCUGAUACUUAUUUUGUUUAGCUUACUAUUUAAAGGUUGUCUAGAAUUUGAACAUCAGCUCGAUUGAAAAUCUGCAAUGUGACAAAUAUGCUCAAUAUUCGGAAAGAUUACAUCCCUUUUUUCUGUCACUCAAGGCGAAACAUUGUUUAGACCGAACCUUUUUAUUCUCGCGUUAUUCAUAUACCCUCUCAAAAAUUUCCUUCUACAUUCACCAAUCUUGAAAAUGGGAGACACCGUUAGUCUUGAAAAUAGGAGACACUGUUAGUCUCCAUUUAUCCGCCUUAUGACUAAAUAACAUUUUCUAUCUUAUCUACUUUCUUUUUACUCAAGAACUUCGUUCGACUUGACUUUCAUUCGGAGGCAGCCCACUCUGGGUCUGGUCUUAAUCUAAUAAAAUAUUUUCUCUCCCCACUUUCUUUCAAUUCUUACAAUUCCAAAUCGACAAGCUAAUAGACCUAACUCUUGAGCAUAUAAAGGCAGAUUACAAUUGAGGUUACAAUAUUCAAAUAUAGGACGACUAUUUCUCUUGGACUAAUAUUUUCUUUAAGCAGUACAGGAAUAUAAGACUCUAAAGGCCAAAAUUGGGGCAGAAUUUUUGAGGUUUCAAAGAAACCUCAAAAAUUUCACAAGUAAACAAUAUAUCAAUGACGUCUAAAAGUGCCUUUCAUUCUAAACUGGGGCAGAAAUUUUUGAGAAUUUCUCAAAAAUUUCACCAUGAUGAAGUACAAGUCCUAACGGUCUAUGAAGCAGAAACAACGACCAAAGAGUCCAAUCGAGCAAGGAUUAAUGGGUACAAAUGACAACAAUCACUCCAUUACGAGAGACCCGAUGGCUAAUUAAACAUCAUGCUGAGAAGCCUCACAAUUGACCCAUCACUACAACAGAUACGCUUUCUUAUCUUAUCUUUAUUGUUAUGGUUAUUUUCACUACAUUGUUCAGCCUCCUCUACAUACAUGUAUAUAUCCUUUUAUCCAGUUGAGCUGAAAGUGGCAGGACCAACAGGUACGGAUGACGAUCCAACGUCAUAUCGAGAGGCCAAAUAGCUGAUCUAACGAUACAUCGAGAGGUUCAACAGCCGAUCCAACGUCAUAUCGAAAAGCCAAAUUGCUAAUCCAAUGAUACAUCGAGAGGUUCAACAUCCGAUCCAAUGUCAUAUCGAGAAGCCAAAUAGCUGAUCUAGUAAUACAUCGAGAGGUUCAACAACUGAUCCAAUGCUAUAUUGAGAAGCUAAACAGCAGAUCCAACGAUACAUCGAGAGGUUCAACAUCUGAUCCAAUGUCAUAUCGAGAAGCCAAACAGCUAAUCCACCGAUACAUCGAGAGGUUCAACAUCUGAUCCAACGUCAUAUCGAGAAGCCAAACAAUUGAUCCAACAUCACAUCAAGAAGUCAAACAGCUGAUUCAAUAAGACAACAGAUACGCCUUUUUUAUUUCCACAUUCACUUUAGGUUUAUCAAUUGUUUAUUUCUUAUAUGCCUAAUCUUUGUUAUUUAGUACGAUGUAAAGACACAGGUAACAAAGAAGGAAUAACAAACAAAGAUAAUUUUCGUUUCUGUUUUUGAAGUAUUACCCCAUCUAUGCAUUAAUCGCCUAAACUAAUCCUAAAACACACUUACCUCAACAUUUUCAAACUACUUCACAUCAUUGUUUCCAAAAUUCAUUCUCAUCCCACCAACCCACGAUAUCAUUGUUGACGCCCCUACCCUCUAUCCUUAACAUUCUUUAGGAAUAUUGUCCGUUCCUAAAUCUAGAACUACACGCGGGUUGAUUCUCAUAAAAUCAGAGAUAUGUAGGCGACUUAAUGCCAAAUUCUCGGCCACACUAUUUUUUAAACACUUUUCAUUGCUUUCUUCCUAACAAACCGUCAUCUCGGUCGGACAAAAUUGGCUACUACGUCAACUUUCAUUGCAUGACAUUUCUUUCAUCAUGCUCAAGCAACGUAGGGAAGCUGUUGACACCCAAUUUUGCCCCUCCCUAUCCCCCAUACCCCAUUAGGCUGCUAUUUUAUCAAAAAUAUUUUUUUCAAAUAUUAACAUUUUUUUGCAUCAAACAGAUUUCUGACGUGUCACAUUAAUGAUUUAAAAAUGUACAAAUUAUUUUAUUAACUUUGGUAUCAUUUUUUACAAUUCAGAUACAAUAUUUUAUGUAAUUUUAUCAAUAUUUAUUAAAUUAUUUUUUUCACAAAUAUGCACACCCAUCAUUUACAAAUACAUUGUCUAGUUGUAUUAUUAUUAUUAUUAAUAAUAAUAAUAAUAAUAAUAAUAAUAAUAAUAAUAAUAAUAAUUUUAUAUAAUAAUUUUACAUAACAUUAAUUUAUAUAUGCUUACUUUAUUUUUAAACUUCUUAUUUAAUUAACAACCUAAUUUAAAUAAAUAUUUUCUAAUUUAUUUAAAUUCUAGCCUUUUGUCCAAUUUAUAGCAAUCUUAGCCUGACUCCACAUAAUUUAUUACAGUUCUAGCCUAAUUUGUGUCUAUUUGAACUCAAUUGUAAUUUUUUAUUCAAUUCGGACCAGAUUCUUAAUUUUUAAAUCUCAGCCGUUGAUCAGAAGUGAUCUAACGGCUGAGAUCAAGCUCUUGCCUCCUUUCCUUUUAUACACAAAGAAAGGAACCGUAAUUCAUUUUCCAACAGCCACACUUUCUCUCCCUCUCUCUCUACAAUCUCUCUCUCUCUCUCUAAGACCUUCUCUCCAUCUAUAAAUGGCUGCAACUGCCAGUCAGCCUCCACGGCUCGCCUCUCACCGUCCACCCUCCAGACCUCUUUUCUCUCUCUCCUUCACCGGCAAACCCCGCUGGAUUAGCCAAUGAAGCUACCGCAAAAUUGGCGCCCGUAACCCGCCGCCGCCGCUGCUUCGGUCGAACCAACAGCCCUCCCCGUUGCAGCCGCUACUCCGGUCGAACCAACAGCCCUCCCCAUCUCUAGCCGCCACAAAAGCAACGACGACUAACCAAACAGCCCCUCCGGCGUCUAUCUCAACAGCCACCAGCCUCCUCCUCCGCACGGUCAGCCAAUCAGCACUGCGACCACCAUGGCUGGUGAACCAGCCGUCAUUGCAUUCCGUCGCCGCAACUCCAGCCGGCCGGACCAAUCGGAGAAGGCUCCACUUCUCCAUCGCCGAUCAAGCAGCCACGAGUUUAUUCUAUUUUGCUCACCGGAGGUGAUGACCGGUGAGGUAUUGAUUGGUAACCUCUCCGAUAUUGGCUGAUUUUAGGAAUCAUCAUAGGUUCUGCCUUGAUUGAUGUUUGUGAUUUAGAUUUAUUGACAUGUUUAGGUUCUCAUAUAGUUGGUGACCCUUACUUUUGUCCUCGAAAUUUAAAAUAAGUGGCCGGUUGUUUUUCAAUUCUUAAAUCAUUAUUCUUGUUUACGAAUUGUGUCCUUUUUGAUUUGCUUAACAUUGAUGGAAAAUUUGUUUCAUAACUUACAAUUAUACACUUAGCGUUUGUAACAAAAAUAGUUGAUUUCAUUUUUUCAUUCUUGACUGAAUAUUUUGAAACUGAUUGAGUAUGCAAUUUUGAUGAUUUGAAUUGAUUUAUGCAUAAUGGAGUUACUGUGAUUAAGGAAUCUCUUUCCUGAUUAAUUGCUUUUUACAUUUUAAAUGACCAGCUGUAUUCCUUAUAAUUUUUUCAUAUCUAUUUGAGGCAAGUUAGACAAAUUUUCAUUUCCUAAUUGAUUAUUGAUUGAUUCUGAAAUAUUUUUCCCUUUAUUUUUUCCUUGAUUGAUUUGGUUGGUUUAUUUAUUUAAGGAAUACAUAUAUAUAUGUUUAUUUUUCCUUUUAUUCUCAUGGGCUGAAUUUUACAUAAUUGAUUAUAUCAUUUGUUUAAGAAAAAUAAUCUCCUUUAUUGACUUAUCAAAUAUUCCCUUUCAUUUAAUCAUACACCAUUCUAUGCCUAUAAAAACAACCCCUCCUCAUUUUGGAGAAACAAGUUACAACACACAACAUACAUUUUCUCUUACUAAAAUCUUAAAAUAAAGAAGCGGUAAUUUUAUUUUAUUAUUCUUGGCACUCGUUUCUGGAGCAUUAAUAUUGACCUAUCGGUGGCAAUUAAUUCUCGGAUCUCUGGCUGUUUAUUUUUUUGUUAUUAUUAUUAUCUGUUAUCAUCAACAAUCAGUCCCUGACAACGUAAUUUUCUUUUAUACCUUAUAUGAUGAUGCUAGUAAACAUGCUUAUAGGAAUCAUUUGGUGUUUUCUUGCUAUGUUUAUGUCAUGUUAUAUUCCCACUUGUAUUGCUAUUAUGUAUUGUCUCACAGGUAUAAAUAGACAGUCUCGGGUAUUUGAAGAGUCGCCGAAAAGUUUAUGGGGGAGGGCUGCACCUUUUCUUUCUUUGUUCAUUUAUUUAUUUUUGAUUCAUGGUGUUGUAAUAACUCUGUAUAAACACUAUUAUUUUGUAAUAAUAAAAUUUGGGGAUUGCUUCGGGGGGCAGGGACUUACGUGCUCUAUGAAUAGUGUAGAUAGGCACAACUUAGAUUUUACGUGUGUUAUGUGCUACGUGGAUCAAGUUAGGCACACAAAUCUAGGAUUUAUUAAUACAUUAAUCACUUAGACAUUUAAUCUACUUAUUAAUUCGAUUAGAAAUCUUGAUUUUAGGAUUAAACUGACAUCUGCAAUGCUAAAUUAAAUUCAUGCAUAUUAAUACAUUUUUAGCAUGUUAAGCAUUUGAAUUAAGUAUGCCACUGUAUGUUUAGCAUGUUAGCAAGAAUUUAAGCAUAUUGGUAUUUUUGAGCAUGUCAGCAAUUAAAUUUCACAUAUUAAUACAUUUUAUCAUUUUUAGCAUGUUAAACAUUAAAAUUAAUUAUGUUGUCUAGCAUGUUAACACAAAUCUAAGCAUGUUAAUAUUUUAGAGCAUGUUAACAUAAAAUUCCUGCAAAUUAAUAUAUUUUAUAACGUGUUAAAAUCGUGUUUCUGCAUAAAACAAUUAAAAUCCGGCAUGUUAAAACUGCAUUUUUGCAUAAAAUAAUUAAUUAACAGCAUGUUUAAAAAUUAAUUAAAGCAAUUUCAAUAUAUUAAAUAGUGGAUUAAGUAUGUCAUUGUAAUUUUUGGCCUAUUAAUGCAAUUUCUGCAUGUUAUCAUGAAAUUACAGCGCAUUAGCAUAAUUUUCAGCAUGUUAAAAUAUCAAAAAAAAAUAAUUAUUUAUCUUUGCAUAUUUAUCAUAUUAAUCAACUCUUUAAUUACCAAGGGGCUAACGUGAUACAUUACUUGCUACUUGACGUCCAAUGUGUUACGCGUUUUGAGUCCUAAGCAACAUAACUUUAUUUUGGCUAGACUAUAAAUUCAAAAUAGAAAAGUCCAAUGCCUCUUGGACGAUAGGCGAGACGAUAGAAAUUACUAAAAAUGUUAGUUUUAUCCUUGUACUAGAACGCCUUUAGAUUUGACAUCCAGCCUAGGAGGGGUGGGACGGGUAGUCAUUCGAAAGUGAUGAUCUCCAACCGACAUUAAAGGUAAGACAUAUGACUUGUUUAUGAGUUCGGCCAGUAGGUCGGAUGAUGAUUAAACAAGUUAGGGUUCUUAUCCGAAUGAGACCAAGACAUUUCUUUGUUUGAUUUGACAAAUUCUUUUUAUUUGCUUAUUUACCUUACAUGCUUAUUUAUUUGGGCUAAUUAGUUUGUUAUAUAAGCAAUCCUCUUUUGUUAUAAAUUAUGUCAUUUCUUUCUCCUCGCUUAUCUUAUUUUAUGUUUUUAUCACUUAGAUAAUUAACAAUUAGAAAUAAUAAAAUAAUAUGUUUGGUUCAUUAAUUGUUUUAUCACUUAGUUAAACAUUAAGUUAAUAAUAAACAAAAGACUUUGAUCACAUAGAAUCCCCGCGUAAAAUACAAAUUUGGCCGGGAACUACCUUUUUGGACCUCACAAGGUGCCUAACACUUUCCUUUUGAGGUAAUUUGAACUCUUAUCAGAAUUUUUAGUGAACUAAGAUAAAACAAAAAAAAUAUGUUCGUAGUAGCCUAGAACGUUGCUCUAACGCAUCUUAAUUCGUUAGGUGGUGACUCUUCAUACUCUACCCUUAAAAUAAUUUCAAAAAGAGUGGUCACGUCGAAUUCUGCAAAGAAAAUAGGGCGCGAUAAAGAGUCGAGUGAGGCCCUGUUGAGCUUCCUGUCUAUGGCUCUGUCAUUACAUCAAAAUGAGAAUUGCAAGUUAAAAACAUAAAGAAAACUACAAAAGUCCUAUCUAUGCAGCUUUCCUUGACUUUGACUUAUUAUUUCAUCACCCUAUUCUUUAGGCGGUUCCUAACAUGCAAUUUCUUUACCCCGUUCUCCAGGCGGGCUCCUGACUUGCAAUUUCUUCAACUUGUUGCUUUGUUUUUAAUUUCUUCACCCUAUUCUUUGUGCGGUCUCCUGAGUUGCUAUUUUUCAAUCUGUUGACUUUCAAUUUCUUUACCUUAUUGCUUGACUUUCAACUUUUUUCCUUGUUGCUUGACUUUCAUUUAUUCACCCUGUUCUUUGAGCGGGCUCCUGAAAUCACAUCAAAACUAGAAAGAAAAUUAUCCUAAACAAAUGUUAUUAUAAAGAGAGAUUCCAUUUGUCAGAAAAGUAAAGUUCCUAAAACAGAAAUUAAAUUUUUGCCCUAGUUUAUCAUCAAAAAACUUUUGCGAAUGUCAAAUCCAAUCAUAACUACUUGCAUGUUGCAAUGAUAAAUCAAGACUCUGACCAGAAAAUGCAUCUUUUGAGAUUAAAAUUAAAUGACCAAGACUAGGAAGUGCAUCUCCUAAGAAUUGAAGUGAGGAAUUUUGACUAGAAAGUGCAUCUACUAGAGAUGAAGGUUUAAGUUAGGAUGUACAUCACCUAACAAGUAAAAUUCGAAUUACCCAAUCAAGGAAGUGUGUUUCCUUACCAAUGCCUCUUGAAUUACCAAAACAAGUGUGUCUCCUUACCAAUGCCGCUUGAAUUACCCAAAUAAAGAAGUGCAUCUCCUUACAAAUGCCGCUUGAAUUACUAAAACAUGGAAGUGUGUCUCCUUACAAAUGUCACUUGAAUUAUCUAGACAAGGAAGUGCGUCUCCUUACAAAUGCCACUUGAAUUACCCAGAAAAGGGAAUGCGUCUCCUUACAAAUGCUGCUUAAAUUAUCCAGACAAGGAAAUGCGUCUCCAUACAAAUGUCGCUUGAAUUAGCUAAACAAGAAAAUGCGUCUCCUUACAAAUACCGCUUAAAUUAUCCAGACAUGGAAGUGCGUCUUCUUACAAAUGUUGCUUGAAUUACCCAGAUAAGAAAAUGCAUCUCCUUACAAAUGAUGCUUAAAUUAUCCAGAUAAGAAAAUGCGUCUCCUUACAAAUGCCUCUUGAAUUACCCAAACAAGGAAAUGUGUCUCCUUACAAAUACCGCUUAAAUUAUCCAAACAAGAAAAUGUGUCUCCUUACAAAUGCCACUUAAAUUAUUUAGACAAGGAAAUGUGUCUCCAUACAAAUGACACUUGAAUUACCUAGACAAGAAAAUGCUUCUCCUUACAAUUGCCACUUGAAUUACUUAAAUAAGGAAGUGUGUCUUCUUACAAAUGCCGCUUGAAUUACCCAAACGAGAAAGUGCUUCUCCUUACAAAUGCCGCUUGAAUUACCCAAACAAAGAAAUGCGUCUUCCAAUAAAUGCCUCUUGAAUUACCCAAAAAAGGAAGUUCGUUUCCUUACAAAUGUUGCUUGAAUUACCAAAAUAAGGAAGUGCAUCUCCUUACAAAUGUUUCUUGAAUUAUCCAAACAAGGAAGUGUAUCUCCUUAUAAAUGUCGCUUGAAUUACCCAAACAAGGAAGUGUGUCUCCUUACAAAUGUUGCCUGAAUUAUCAAAACAAGGAAGUGCGUCUCCUUAUAAAUGUUUCUUGAAUUACAAAAAUAAGGAAGUAUGUCUCCUUACAAAUGUUGCUUGAAUUACCAAAAUAAGAAAGUACGUCUUCUUACAAAUGUUGCUUGAAUUAUCCAAACAAGGAAGUACAUCUUCCUACAAAUAUCGCUUGAAUUACCCAAACAAGGAAGUACGUCUCCUUACAAUUGUUGCUUGAAUUACCAAAACAAAAAAUUACGUCUCCUUAUAAAUGUUGCUUGAAUUAUCCAAAAAAAAAGUGCGUCUCCUUACAAAUGUUGCUUGAAUUACCCAAACAAGGAAGUGCGUCUCCUUACAAAUGCCACUAGAAUUAUCCAAGAAAAUGCAUCUCUUAGGGGAUAACUACUUAACUUGAAAGUAGCUUUUCUAGGAGUAAAGGCUUAAGUUAGAAAGUGAACCACCCAACAAGCGAAACUUGAAUACCCACCAAGGAAGUGUGUCUCCUAAGGUUCAAGUCGAAUGACUCAACUAGAAAGUGCGACUUCUAGGGGUGAAGGUUCAAUUUAGGAAGUGCAUUACCUAAUAAAUAAACCUGAAUUACCCAAAGAUUUACCGUGUUUUUAAUCACCAAACCUGUGCAGCAAUAUUGCCUCUUGCAUUUGUAGAAGUGAGAAAUUACGGCCUUUGAUGUUUAGGCUUAGAAAUCAUUGAUUUGAAGAUAACAUAUGUUCCUGUUUCAUACAAAGAAAAAUUAUGAUUUUAAAAAUAUGGUGGUUGGUUUGUGCCUUUAGCUUUCGCGGCAAUCGCUCUUGCCCCCGUCACAUUUAACCUUGCUUCCAACCAUUAACAUAUGUCAUUGACUUGCUGAAUCAUUGACCUAAACUUAGAUUAUUAAGAGUGAGUCUAAAAUAAACACAACAUCUCUGCUUUGCCAUGCUUCUCAGAUAAACCUUUUGAACCUUGGUAUUUUCAUAAGUUCCCAGACUUGUCUGUUGACAAAACUUUUUGAAUGCCUUAUUUGGGCUCACAAUCAUGUAGCUUUCAUGUGUAGGCCUUUUGUCUUGAUUUGUGCAAUUGAAAAAGCUGGUAGCCAGUUUUGAAAUCUUUUCUCACUUAUUUUGACAUGGACUUGACUCAAAGACAAGAGAAAAAAUGACUGAUUUUUUAUUUGGAUAAUUAACUCAAGAAAAUAAAAUAAAAAGAAGAAAGAAAGUACAAUGAAUGUCCCCAUUUGAAAUAAAGAAAUAAAAAAUUUAUCUAAAAAAAACAGUCAACUCUCAUGAUUAUGCCAUGCAUUUUGGAUUAAGCUGCCUGAUCUUUCCAUCCGAACUUUCUACCAAUUGUUGUUGAGUUAAUAGCCUUGAAACUGAGUUUAUUCGUUAGGUCAAUUGCAUUUAAGACCUCAUUUGGCUAGUGGUGCCUUGAAGGGUUUUCACCAACAAGCCUCUUUCAUUUUCUUUUUCUCAGCUCACCAUUGCCUUGUGGUGUCCAUGAGGGUUUUUCACCAAUGAGACUCUUAUUUUCAUUUUUCUCAACUCAUCGUUGUCUUACAGUGCCCAUGAGGGUUUUCACUGAUAAGACUCUCUCAACUUACCAUCGUUUUACGGUGCCAUAAGGGUUUUCACCAAUAAGACUCUCUCAUUUUUAUUUCUCUCCUGAUUCUUUAUGCUGAGGAAGAUGAGUAGUUCCUAAAAUACAUUAUCAUAUACAUUGCAUGUUAAGACUUAUCAUUUUCAAAGAUUGAUCUAAAAGUCUUUCUUUGGUUGUAACUUGACUUUUGGAUAAGGUUAGAAAGAAAGGACGGCAUGAAACUCAAACGACACUUGAAGUGGGGUGGGACUUACAACUUUUGGAAUUGACUCAAACAACAAAAAUUAACUCAUGCCUCAAUUUCUUUUGACUGGGUAACGCUAAAUUGUUUAUUUGGUCGGACCUAGCCCAGAGUAGGGCAACCUACGUAUCUCACCCCCGAGAGAGGAAAAUUAGGUCAUGUGUAGUUCUGACAACUAGUUCUUUUGCUUGAUUAUGAUUUUUUCUCCCUUUUUUUCUGACUCUUUAUUUUGGACCUUUUUCUGGCUUUAUUUUUCUUGACACUCUUCUUUUUCUUUCUUUUUGACAUAUUUUUUCUGAUUCUAUUCUUUUGCUUGACACUUUUCUUAUGAACUUUCCUGACUCUUAUCUUGAUUCCACAAGAGGGGUAUGAAAGAAAAUAGAACUAAAGCUCAAACAGGGUUCACAAAGAAUGACACAAUGAUUAGAUAGCUGAAUGAAAUGCCUCUGUAAUAUUAAUCCUUGAAAAUGCAAGUACAUAUCAUGUAAUUUGAAAGUGAAAGAUGGAGAUCAUUUGUGAUAUUUUUACAGAACUAACUUUAACUGAAUUUGUGCAUCACUACUCUUGCACUUUGUUCAAUAUACCAUUCCAUUUUUGUUGUACAUUCCUUAUGCUGAAAGACUCAUGACUUCGUGGUGCUGAUUUUUUUUUAAUUCCUUUUGACAUAGGAUCGCGCAUUCACUAUUUGACCUAAUUGAGAAAUGUUCUUCAAUUGAUGACCAAGUUAUUCUUAUGAUUCUUAAAAUAAUUGCCUUGAUUUUUAAAGAAGGCUUCAACUUGACCACCAAAUGCCUCAACACUCUAUCUAUUUUCUCAGGUACUCUCUUUUUCUAACAUUAAUCCUCUGACUCAAUGUUUCAUGAUUAAACUAGAUUUUAAGAUCUGGCUAAAAAUUCUGCUAGCAUGUCAUAUCACUAGAAUCAACAUAAAAUAUACUGUGUAAACAAAACAAAUAAACAACACAUAUUUAAAACACCAAGGUAAAGGGAUACUUCAUUUAGUUAAAAUAAAAGAUAGAAAUGUUUAAACAUAAACGACAAAGAAACAAAACAAGAUAGAUUCCGAACUACAACCCUGAGAUAAUUUGGAAAACAGAAAGAAAAAUAAAAUAAACUACCAACAACUCUUCCUGGUAAGGAGAGGAGUGACUUCCCAAUUACUGAGCUUGACAUCAUAGCCACAGAUUUGCAUAUCAUCAUGACUAGAGCUUUUACCACUUUCAAUGUUUUGCACCACAAUCAAUUUAUCUUGAAUUAUCUUCUUAAUUUCUCUUUUCAAAUCUCGAUAAUCUUUAAUACUAUAACCCUGAGCAUCAUAAUGAUACGCACAUCAUACAUUGGGAUCAAAAUUUCUUGAAUGCGGAUUAAGAGUGUGCCCAAGAAGUGGAGUGAUCAUGCCCCAUUUUACUAAUCUCUCGAAUAGACUGGCAUACGAUUCUCCAAUUAGUGUGAAACUAUCUCUAGGCUUCUGCCUCUUCUCAUUAUUUGACUUGGAUCGAAGCUCGUACCUAGAAGGGCUUUGAUAUGUUUGUGGAGUUGGAGGGUGAAUUUGAGACAUUGGUGCGUGCCAUUGUGAGUAAGAAGGGAGUUGAAGAUAUGGUUGCGCGCAGUGUACUAGAUAUGGAGGUGGGGAGAUAAGAGUAUAAUGGAUUUUGAGAGUGAUUAUAUAGAGAUUGGCAAUGAACUUGGGCUUGAGACUAAGGAUAACGACGACGUGGUAUUCUUGGACUCACUCGUUUUCCAACUAUAAUAGCAGCUGCAUCUUCCUUAUUCUUCUUCCCUCCAAUUUUCUUUAAUUGAUUGCAAUAUUGUCCCAAAUAUUUUACAGAUUCCUCAUGUCCAUCUUGCUCCUCAAAUUUUGAUAUCUCAAGGAUUAGAGGAAGGUUAACACUAAAAGACAUGUUCUGGUUUUUAUAUGAAACAUCUUCUUUACCCAUCAGUCCUAGGAAAUUUUUCAUAGCAUUUUAUGCACUAUUCAUUUUUUCAACCAUUUUCUCUUGCUAUUCAAGAACGCUAGGCUACUUGUUAAGAAAUUUUGGUGGUCCAAUUAACUUAAAAGUAGGCUCAGGAGUAUAACAAUAUCACCAAGAGUAUUGAACAUGAGUCAACUAGCAGCAUGGGAAAGCACAACCGAUAGACAGCUAGCCAAUGUGGAUGUCCCAGCAAAGGAUUGAGCAACAAAAUCAUAAACGAUAUAUAGUGUUGUGAAUGUAGUAGGAUUAUGCUGAGGAUCUAGAGAAAGAGUGGUGAAAGUAUUGAGAUACUUUUGGCUUGGAAUGAAUUAUGAGUCAUGUUGCAGUGCAUCAAUAACAGCAGGAAACUGACUUCGCAAUUUUGAUGAAAAACUCAAGGUAUUUGUAGGAUCAAUAUCGGUAAAUGGAGAAGGGGGCAACCCACUGGCCCAAGCUCGAUACAUUUUUGUCAUGUGUUUCCUUAGUCUCCUAAUCUCUUUCUUUAAACUCUCAUUUUCCUGACUCUUUGUUUGAUCCAUGAUGUCACUCUCUAUAUCCUUGUUAAACACAAGUAACCCUUCCUUGGAUUUGGAGUGAUGUGGAGGAACUGUCAGAAUACCACAAACCAACCACCUUAAACUAACUGAAUAAGAAAUAACAAAUGUGUUAGAGUUCAACACUUUCUCAAAACCUUUUUCUUUCAUUUUCUUUGGAAAAUAUCACCAAACCCAAGAAGGGAGUGUACAUAUCUCACUCCCAAAAGAGGAGAAUUAGGUGUGCAUAGUUUGUAAAGUCUUGUCACACAUGACCAAUUAAACUCUCUUUCUUUUUCUUAUUUUUUGAAACUUUGAGAAGAAAAGAAAAUAACAAAUUGUCAAAACAAUUGACGAAAAUAUUUUUUGAAUUUUUCAGUUUUAAACUCCCUAUACAAAAUGAAACCUAUGAUUACCAAAGAAAAAUCUUUUUGGAUUUUUGAUUGUGAAUUUAAUAUGAAAAUGAAACUGAAACUAUUAAAGGAAAAUCUUUUUGUAGUUUUCUUUUAAAUAUGUAUAUGACACCUACUCAAAAUGAAGAGUGAAGAAAAUAUUUUUGAAUGUUUUAAAUAAGAUCACCGAAUCCUAGAAGGGCUGCCUACGUACCUCAUCCCCGAAAGAGGAGAAUCAGGUGUGCGUAGUUCGUCCAGAUUGGACAAUUUAGGAUUAAAUGACAAACAAAAUCUUGACUUGAGAGACACGGCCAAAGACAAACGAUAAAAAAUAUCAAUAAAAUCUUUUUGAGUUUUGAAUUUGACACUUUACAUAAAACUGACAGCAACAACCAUGAAAAAAAAAUCUUUUGGGUAUUUUCAUUAUAUGAAAUGUACAAAACUUCUACCAUGUUUUCUUUGAAUUGUUCUUUUAUAAAAAGUUCCUAUUAAAAAAAAUUCUUGUAAAAAUUUUUGAAUUAUGAAAUGCAUGCUAAAGGAACAAAAGAAAAAUCUUUUUGAUGUUUUUGUAUUUUGAGAAUUGAGUGUAAUAGGUAAAAAUCUUUUUAAAUUUUUUGAAUUGUGAAGAACAAAAACCAUAAAGAACUCUAAAACACUACGAAACUCUUUUUUGACACACUUUUUUUCUUUAUUUUUUGAACUUUUCCUUACCUACACACUUUCUUUUAAUUCUACCACAUGCUUUCCUCAAAUCAGUCGUACAAAUGACCAUGUUAUCCUCAGAUAUGCAAUAAUUAGCACGUAGGGAUGCAUUAGGGGUGGGUCUCCUACAAAGGAUCAAGUGGGUCCCUCUAGGUUUCAAUAUGAUGCAGAUAAGGGUGAUCUAAAGGCUGACCUGGGCUGAGGUUCACUAACAAGGCUGUUUGGGGGAGUGUAUGGUCGAUAGUGGCUGCGAGAGCUUUCCACCCACUCCAUACGUCCGAUGGCUCCCUAUCCCAAAAUAAAGGUGACUCAACUAGAGUUCGUGUACUUGACCUAUACUCUGGUAUUUGUUGCAAAAGAAAUGACUCGAUUUAUGCAAAUCAUGCCAGAUAUAAAACGGCAACACAUAAAAAAAAAUGUAAACAAAGAGCAUGUAGGCAUCCAACAAUGAUAAAACAAUAACACAAAUAAAAUAUCUAUACACCUAUAGUGUCAAACUAAGUCGAUACAACUCAAAAAUAAGCUCGAAUUUUGAAAAUAUCCCCAGCAGAGUCACCAGAGCUGUCACACCCUUUUUUUAAUCAAAAGAUAAAUUUUUAAGUUUCAAAAAGGUUUUUAUUAUUAAGUGACAAAAAUAAAACAAUUUGUUUCGAAAAGGAUUCUUUUUCAUUUGAACUCAGAGUCGCCACUUGGCAUAAAUCCGGUGUGCCAAGUCACCUUUGGAAAUCCUUUUUCAAAAAAUAAUUUUGACUCUUUUAAACUAAUUCGCGAACAGAGAUUCCGGCUAAGGAAUUCUGUUGACUGAGAAAAAGGUGUUAGGCACCCCUCGAUCCCGUGGUUCGACCACGAUCGCUCUGAAGAGUAUAUCGACAAGUAUGGCACUAUAAAGUAAAUAAACCACAUAAACACACAACAACAAACAAACAAACAAACCAAACAAAGCAAAUCCAAAAAAUAAUGUUCAGUCCAAUUUAUUACAUACCCAAAAUAAAAAGGUAUUGAAAUGUAAACCUACACUAAUCCUAAACUAUGCUCCACCCGGUGCCUCGGACCUUGAUCACGAACCUCCUUCACAUAUAUAAUACUUCAGGACAUUCUUCGGUGAAUAAAUACAAAUGACCUUGGGGUAUUCCCCGGCUAAAUGAUACAUUUUCCAAAUGCAAUAAAACCAAACCAUUCAAUAAAGUUUCAAACAUUCAACAAACCACGAGUCCUAAACUGUGCUUACCCAACCUACUGUUUGCCUACCAAUUUAAACAUAUCAUGAUUCUAUCACGUUCAACAUCAUCAAUACAUAAAAAAUAAUCAAUAUUCACUUUUUCUAGAUUUUCAAUCCACUCCCCCAAUUUCAUUCUCAAGUGUUCAACUGUCACACCCCUUUUUUUCUCGAAGGUUCGAAGGUCGAAGGGUUUUUUCAAUUAAAGUGAUGAUUUUAAAUAGGGAUUAAUUUAUUUUUAAAGUUGCCACUUGGAAUUGAGUUAUAGUGUUCCAAGUCACCUUUUUGAAUCCCUAAUCAAAAGAAAACGACUCUUUUAUUUGGUCUGCAAAAGUAGAAGAUCGAGUAAGGAAUCCUGUUGACCGAGGGGAAGGUAUGAGACACCCCCGAGUCCCGUGGUUCUAGCACGAUCGCUUUUAUUGACUUAUACUUGACUUAAACUAUUUUGAUAAAUUAUGUUAAGACCCAAAUUUGUUCAUUUUUAAUUAUACCAAAAAUGUCUAUCAAUAUCUUUUAAAUUAAAUAAAUUGGUGAAAAUUAAUUUUAGAAGCUAUUUGUCAAGGUGCAUUAUUGCAUCCUUGAAUUUAAAAUAUCUCAGAAAAUAUGUGUAUGCCACAUUCUUAAUUGAGAUGAAUAUUUUAAAAUGUGUCUAGAAUAUACCUAAAUUUUUAUAAUAAAUUAAAGAAAAAUUCAUUUAACAUAAUUAAUUAAAUCAAUAAAUAAUUAUUAAGAUCUAUUAAUAUAAUAAUAAAAUAAAUAAAAUACAAAAAUCUACCUAUAUUAUGCUAAAUUUAAAAUUCUCCCUAAAAUUUAAUUUUCUUUAAGUUAACUCUGAUAAUAAAAGAAAACUCUAAAAUCUAGUUAAAAAUAAAUAUAAAUCAUAAAAGUAUUGUUUACAUCUUUUAAGUUAACUUUUAUUUGAAAAUUUUAAAAUCUAAUUGAACAUAAAUAGAAAUUCCAUACGAAAAGUAUUUUCAGUAAGUAUUAGAAACAAAAUAAAAAAGCGAUUUUAGUGAUUUUUUAGAUAGUGUCCCACCGAAACAGCAUCGAACGACCCAAAAUCCGGUCAGAUCUGGAUUCUAUAACGUGAUAGAGGCGAGAAAAAGGAAAAAUAGAAGAGAGAAGGGCGGCGGCAGUUUGGUCGUGAGGUUCGCCAGCGAGAAAGGGAGAAGAAGAAGGGGACAACGGCGGCGAUGGGUUCGCCGGUUUUGUGGAUCUGGAUGGGAAAAGGUAAGGGGAGGUCGGUACGUCAGAUCUGGUGGUUGGUGGUCACUGGUGUUUGGGGAAAAAGGAGGGGAGAAGGUUGGCACCGGCGAUUGGGUGGUCACCGGAGGAAUUUGCUAGCAGCGCUAGCGACAAUUUUCUUUGAUGGUUUGCCAAUUUCUGAAGAAUAUGGUAUUUCCAGUAGGCUUCCGACCAUUUUGUCAUCGGAGGAGAUGACGAUUUUGAUGAAUUAAAUCUAAACAAAACUCCUUUCUCUCUGAAUUUUUUGUCUCCCUUCAUUCUUUAUUUUUACCCUUUUUAAUCAAAUUUCUACUCUGUUAUUAUUACUGUCUGAUUUUUUCACUAUCUAUUUUCGUAUAUACAGGUGUGUGUAUACAGUUUUUGGUGAGUGUAAAAUGUAUGAUAUAUUAUGAAAUUAUGUGAGCGAACUGUGAUGGUGUGUGAAUUGUAUGAAUGUGUAGAUGUGUGUAAAUGGUGUGUACAGUGUAUAUGAAUGUGAAAUUGUAACAAUGUCUAUUUUUCUUUUCUCUGCUAUUUCUUUCUAUUCCGAAUUUAACUUAGCAGCAUAUACAUAAACACUCAGUGAUUUAAUAUGUAACCCAUAAUAACAUAUACACUCACCUAAUAAAUCAACAACACGUUAUGAAUAGUAUAUGAAAAUUACUUAAACAACUUUAUUCAUAUUUUUUAUUCAUAAUAAAGUUUAUGCAAUAAAUUAUAUAGGAUCAAAAUAAAAUAAAGCAUGUGUUAAAUUGAAAAGAAAUAUGAAGUUGUCACCGAAAUCCUCAAGCGAAACUUUGAAACUCGAAUUCUGACGUUUUCUCCUCUUUAUUUUCUUUUUAUUUUUUUUACUUCACUUGUUUUCUUCUUUUUUCCUCUCUAGUUUUCUCUAUUUUUUGAUGCAGUCAGUGUAGAUGGUGAGAAUAGUACCUAGAAUUCUGUAGAUGUGGUCGUGGAAAAUCCUUAAAUACAAGAUUUUUAAGGGGAACAAUAACUAUCUGAUAGGUGGGAUUUUAAAAUUUGAAUUAUUAUUAUUGUUAUUAUUUUAAGAAGAUAAUAAUAAUAAAUUAAAUAAAUAAAUAAAGUAAUAGAAUAAUAAUAAUAAAUAAUAAAAAUUUAGAAAACAAAAAUACAUAUUUUUUUAAUUCUUGUAUUGAAAAUAAAAAUAAAAUAUCUCAAAAUUAAGUUUAUUUAUUUAUUCAUUUUUGAAUGAAAAAUUUACUAAAAAUAAAGUAAGAGUUACAAUAAUAUCGGAUCGAUACAAAUAUUUAAUAUAGAUAAAUGAAUUAAAAUUUGGGGAGGAUAAAAAAUCACGUGUCUAUAUUUUUGCCUCUCUUUGUGUGGAAUCUUGAAGAGUUUUCAUACAAAGAAGUAGACAAGUUAUGAUUUUUGACCCUUCAAUUAUUUUGAAAGGUAAGGAUAAAAUAAAAUUAAAAUUAAAAAAAAAAUAUGACCGAGUCCUGAUUUUGGACCUCCUACCUAUCCCGGGUUAUAAGGGAAUCAGGUUAUGAGUAGUUCAAAGGUAACAUGAUGAGAGAAUGAUUUAGAUGUCGAGUGAAAUUCCAUCGAGUUUUUCGUUAACGACUUCUACCUUUUACAUCCAAAUGACUAAUAAAAAUCAAAGAUGAAAAAUACAAAUGUAAGAUACAAUUUCUCUAGAAUCUUGAUUUGAAUCUUCGUGACUUGAACUUAAAAAUUCACCGUAUUCUUCGGGCGGGCUCCUGGAUUACUUUUUUCCUUCUUCACCCUGUUCUUCAGGUGGGCUCCUGACUUGUUACUUCUUCACCCUGUUCUUCCAGCGGUCUCCUAGCUUGUAAUAACUUCUCCUGACAAUGUUUACCCUAUUCUUCAGGCGGGCUCCUGGACUUACUUUUCCUACACCCUGUUCUUCAGGCUACUCCUUCACUUACUUUUCCACUACUCUGUUCUUCAGGCGGGCUCCUAAACUUGCUUUUCCUUUACCCUAUUCUUCAGACGGGCUCCUAGACUUACUUUUUCUUUUACCAUGUUCUUCAGGCGGGCUCCUGGACUUCCUUUUCCUUUACCCUGUUCUUCAGACGGGCUCCUGGACUUACUUUUUCUUUUACCAUGUUCUUCAAGUGGACUCCUGGACUUGAUUUUCGCUUACCCUAUUCUUCAGGCGGGCUCCUGGACUUUUCCUUUUACACUGUUUUUCAGGCGGGCUCCUCGACUUGCUUUUUCUUCACCCUGUUUUUUAGGCGGGCUCCUGGACUUAGUUUUCUUCACCUUGUUCUUCAGGAGGGCUCCUAGAAUUACUUUUUCUUCACCUUGUUCUUCAGGCGGUCUCCUGACUUGCUAUUUCUGAUUUUUGAAAUAUGUUCCUGAACUCAAAAUAAAAGGUGAAACAGAAAAAUAACAUCCCAUUCUCCAGGAGGGUCCUGGGCAUAAAAUAAAUUCCCAUCUUCAGGAGGGUCCUGUUCAAUUCUUCAGGAGGGUCCUGAGCAUAAAAAUAAAUUUCCAUUCUUUAUGAGGGUCUUGUCCCAUUCUUCAGGAGGGUACUGAGCAAAAAGUAAAUUUCCAUUCUUCAGGAGGGAUUCUUCAAGAGGGUCCUGAGCAUAAAAAUAAUUUUUCAUUCUUCAGGAGGGUCCUGUCCAAUUAUUCAGGGGGGUCCUGAGCAUAAAAAUAAAUUUCCAUUAUUCAGGAGUGUCCUGUCUCAUUCUCUAGGAGGGUCCUGUCUCAUUCUUCAGGAGGGUUCUGAGCAUAAAAAUAAAUUCUCAUUCUUCAGGAUGGUCUUGUCUCAUUAUUCAGGAGGGUCCUGAGCAUAAAAAUAAAUUUCCAUUCUUUAGGAGGGUCCUGAGCAUAAAGUAAAUUCCCAUUCUUCAGGAGUAUCCUGAGCAAAAAAUAAAUUCUCAUUCCUCAGGAGGGUGUUUAAUAUUAAAAUAAAUUUCCAUUCUCCAGGAGGGUCCUGUGCAUAAAAAUUAAUUCCCAUUCUUUACAUACACAUUUUUUUGGCCCAGUGUGUAGUGAGAAAAUUUAAGUGUGUAACCAGAUCUUAAUUUUUUUUUUUUGAAAAAUAAAGUGAAUGGAUAAAUCAAAGUCUGAAAUAUCUUUAGUAAUUACAUCUCGUAAAGAAUAAAAUUUACCCUAAUCAAGAUCCAGCAUCGUGUGCUGUAACCAUGCUUCUUGCAUUAACAGAAGUGUGAAAUUCCAUCCUUCAUCUGAAAACUUUAAUGUGAAAAAGAAUAUCCCAUCUCUAUUUCAAACAAAGAAAAAUUGUGCGUUUUAAAACAUGUGGUGGUUGGUUUGUGGUAUUUGAAUUUUGAAGUGACUGCUCUUGCACUUGCCAUGCUCAACUCAUUUUCAAAUCGUUGAUAAAUAUUUGUUGACUUGUCAUUAUUCCGAUCCCAAAUUCUAACUACUGAGAUUCUCAACUCAAAGCAUAUUUAUCUUGUAUGAUGUUUCUAGGUUUAGCUUUCAAUACAUAUUUUAUCUUUUCGCGAGUCCAAAAUUGUCAUAUCAUAAUCAUUCUGAGUACUUUAUUUUACUUUGAAACGUUGUCUUUGUGCGUCGACCUUUUGUCUCGCUUUGUACCAUUGAAGAAGUUGGUAGCAAGUUUGGAGUCCCUUUCUUACUCGACUUGAUGAGAAUUUGACUCAAAAAUACAUAAAAGAUGACAAUAAAUUUCGUUUGACGACAAGGAUACAAGCACUCAAAAAUUGAAAUAAAACAAAAAGAAAAAGGAAAAGACAAUAGGCGUCUCGUUUCAAAAUUAAAAUAAAACCUUAUCUGAAUGUAGAAACCGAUUCUGGUGAUUAGGAUAUGCAUUUUGAAUUAAAUAACCUGAUCUAAUUGCACCAAUCAUUAUCAACUUUUGUCCACUUAUUGAACUUUAAAUUAAGCCAAUCUUGAACUUGUUGCUUCUGGAUAACAACCCUCCUUUGGCUAGUGGCACCUUAAUGGGUUUUUGUCAAUGAGCCUAUCUUAUUUUCAUUUCUUUCUCAACUCACUAUCGCCUUAUGGUGCCCUUUGGGGUUUUCACCGAUAAGACUCUCUCAUUUCAAUAUUCUCAUAACUCACAGUCACUUUAUGGUGUCCAAGGGGGUUUUCACCAAUUAGACUCUCUCAUUUUCAUUUUUAUUCUUUUUUCAUUUUUUAUAUUUAAAGAAAAAUAACAUCCAAAAUAUGAAAUAUCAUGCACCCAUAACAUGUUUAGCCUUGACAUUCUCAAAGACUGAUAUGAAGGUCUUUCUUUGACUGUAACUUGGAUUUUGGAAAGGGUUAGAAAGAAAGGGCGGCAUGAGGCUAAAAAAUUUACAUAACAUUGGGUGAAGCAUACAACUUUUGGAAUCGACUUUUUAAGAAAAUAAACUUUUGCUCCAGCUUUAUUUCAUUCUGGGUAACGUAAAUUUUCUUUUGGUUAGAUCGAACCCCAUAGUAGGGCUGCUUACGUAUCCUGUCAUAGCAAGAAUCUGGUCAAACAUAGUUCAUGAGAGUCAUUAUUUUGCUUGAUUUUGAUUAUUAUUAUUUUUUUCUUUUUUUUGCUUUUUUUUUUCACCAACAUCCUUUUUUUUUGGUUGAAACUUUUAACUCUAAUUGGUUCCAAAAGAGGGGUACGGAAGAAAGAUAAAAUCUCAAAGGGGAUAAGCAAAUGUUGAUAUAUUAUUCGGAUAGCUGAACAAAAUGCCUUCAUCAUUUCAAUCUUUUAAAAUAAAAGUACAAAACAUACAUAACAUAAUUGUACAUAAAUAUCAUACAUAAUAUCUCUUAAAUGCAUCAGCAUUGACCGAUAUUUCUUCUAUUUUGCCUUCUACAUCAGUCAAAUAUAAUGCACCAUUAGGUAACACCUUCUUCACCAUAAAUGGUCCUUGCCAAUUAGGAGAAAAUUUGCUUUUGGCUUCAAUCUGAUGGGGAAAGAUGUGUAUUAGUACUAACUGACCGGCUUCAAAUUGUCUGGGGCGAACCUUUCUAUUAUAGGCUUGAGCCAUUCUCAAAUAGUAUAGUUGGCCAUGACAUACCGACACCAGUUUUUUCUCAUCAAUCAAACUCAAUUUCUCCAAUCGGGUUUUGACCCACUUAUCAUAAUCAUUUUCGGCCUUUACAACAACUUGAAGAGAUUGAAUCUUAAUUUCUGCAGGUAUAACUGCUUCAGUUUCGUACACCAACGAGUAAGGAGUUGCACCAAUUGAAGUCUGAACUGUAGUAUGAUUACCCAACAAAGCAAAAAGUGACUUUUCAUGCCAUUGUUGGGAACCCUGCACCAUCUUGCGAAGUAUUUUCUUUAGGUUCUUGUUGGAAGCUUCUACAGCACCGUUCGGCUUCAGGCGAUAAGGAGUUGAAUUUCGAUGCAUAAUCUUAAAUUGCUGACAUGCUUCAUACAUCAAAUAACUGUUGAGAUUUGCAGCAUUAUCCAUGACAAUUAUCUUUGGAAUGCCAAGCCGACAAAUUAUGUUGGAGUGAACAAAGUCAACCACUGCUUUCUUAGUCAUUAACUUGAAAAUCGUUGCUUCUUCCCACUUUGUAAAAUAAUUAAUAGUUACCAAGAUGAACCUAUGUCCAUUCGAGGCCUUCGGUUCAAUUGGUUUAAUUACGUCUAUUCCCAAAGCCACAAAAAGCCAUAAAGCAGUCAUUGUAUGCAACUCAGAUGGAGAGAAAUGUAUCAAGUCCCCAUGUACCUGGUAUUCAUAAUAUUUGCGAACGAAACGGAUGGAAUCUUGCUCCAUGGUUAACCAAUAAUAACCUGUUUAAAGUAUUUUCUUUGCCAAAAUAUACCCGCUUACGUGCGGUCCAAAAAUCUACGAAUGUACUUCAGUUAUGAUUUUUGAAACUUUUUUAGCAUCUAUAAACCUGAAAUUCCCAAAUCUGAAGUCCUCUUGCACAAGAUUCGCCCACUUAGGAAAAAUAUGCUAGCCAGACAUCGAAUGGUUCUUUUUUGGUUACCAUCAGUGUAUAUGGGAUAUUUUCCAGUCUGAAUAUAUUCUUUGAUAUCAUGGAACCAAGGAUCUUCAUCAGGUUCUUCCUCAACCACAUUGCAAUAUGCAUAUUGAUCAAGGAUCUGUAUAUGCACAGGGUCAAUAUGAGUCUAGUCGGGAUGUUGGAGCAUCGAAUAUAAGGUUGCCAAAGCAUCAACAAUUUCAUUAUGAGCUCUGGGAAUAUGCUUGAACUUUAUUGAUACAAAUCAUUGACAAGGAUUAUACAAACCAUCUCGAUAUGGUAGGAAUUUUGAAUCACGAGUGUCCCAAUCUCCUUUGAUUUAGUGGACUAACAAAUGUGAAUCUCCUAACACCAACAGUUCUUGGAUUCCCAUGCCGAUGGCUAGUAUCAAACCCAAAAUGCCUGCUUCAUGUUUUGCUAUAUUAUUUGUACAAUAGAAUCGAAGUUGGGCUGUUAUAGGACAGUAUUGUUCUGAUUCAUAAAUAAGGACUACCCCUAUCCCUACUCCUUUUACAUUAGUAGCUCCAUUAAAGAACAUCUUCAAACCUGAAUGGCAGUCAUCAGAAAUAACCUCAUCAACACAUAAUAUCUCUUCAUCCAAAAAGUAAGUCUUUAAUGGCUCAUAUUCCUCAUCGAUAGGAUUUUCAGCCAAAUGCUCUGCUAAGGCUUGAUCUUUUAUUGCAGUUUGAGUCACAUAGACAAUAUCAAACUCUAUGAGUAGCAUCUGUCAUUUUGCUAGUCUGCCUGCGGGCAUAGGCUUCUGAAAAAUAUACUUUAAGGAAUCCAUAUGUGAAAUGAGGUAAGUAGUGUAAAAUGACAAGUAAUGCUUCAACUUUUGUGCUACCCAAGUUAAGGCGCAAUAUGUCUUUUCAAGAAGAGUAUACUCAGCCUCAUAAGUGAUAAACUUUUUGCUAAGGUAGUAGAUGGCCUAUUCUUUUCUGCCUGUGACAUAAUGUUGACCCAAUACACAACUAAAAGAAUUGUCUAACAUAGACAUAUACAAUAUCAAGGGUCUACCUGGCUCUGGAGGAAUCAAAAUAGGCGGAUUCGACAAGUACCUCUUAGUUAUGUCAAAUGCCUCUUGACAUUCUUCAGUCCAUUCAACUUUAGCAUUCUUCUUUAACAACUUGAAAAUUGACUCAAAGAUCAUCGUGAGUUGGGCAAUGAAUCAACUGAUAUAAUUCAACUUUCCAAGUAAGCUCAUCACCUCCAUUUUGUUCUUUGGUGGAGGCAAAUCUUGAAUAGCUUUUAUUUUUGAAGGAUCUAACUCAAUGCCACGUCGACUGACUAUAAAUCCCAAGAGUUUUCCUGACAGGACUUCAAAUACAUAUUUUGCUGGGUUAAGUUUGAGAUCAUACCUUCGAAGCCUUUUAAAGAAUUUCUUUAGAUCCUUGAUAUGGUCAGACUGCUCUCUUGAUUUAAUGAUCACGUCGUCCAUAUAAACUUCAAUCUCUUUGUGCAUCAUGUCAUGAAACAUUGUGGUCAUUGUCCUCAUGUAAGUUUCCCUAGCAUUCUUUAGUAGGAAUAGCAUAACUCGAUAAAAAUAUUUCCCCUAUGAUGUGAUAAAUGAUGUCUUUUUUGCAUCUUAUGGAUCCAUAAUGAUCUGGUUAUACCCUGCAUAAGAAUCUACAAAAGACGCAAGAUCAUGUUUGGCACAAUUAUCCAACAAAAUAUGAAUGUUGGGAAGUGGAAAAUCAUCUUUUAGACUUGCUUUAUUUAGAUCACGAUAAUCAACACACAUCUAAAUUUUGCCAUCCUUCUUUGGAAUAGGGACAAUAUUUGCUAACCAAGUAGGAUAUUGGGCCACUCGAAUGACUUUAGCCUCAAGUUACUUCAUAAUUUCCUCUUUGAUUUUUACGCUUAUGUCAGUUUUAAUCUUCCUUAAAUUUUACUUGAUAGGAGGGAAAGCAGGAUCAAUUGGCAACUUAUGAACUACUAAAUUAGUGCUCAAACCCGGCAUAUCAUCAUAAGACCACACAAAGAUGUUUUUGUACUUAAGCAAAGCUUCAAUUAUAGCCUUCUUUUGUUGUGGUUGAGCAUUUUCACUUAUCUUAGUCUUCGUAAUAUUUUCAUGAUAUCCUAAAUUGAUCACCUCAGUUUCAUCCAAAUUAGGAUUUGACUUAUUCUCAAACUGUUUGAAAUCUUUGCUUAUAACCCCAAAUGCUUCCUCUUCAUCGUAUUCAACUUCUUUAUUCAUUAUUUCAUAAUUAGAUUGGAUUUUUAAAUCUGGUUGAAAAUUCUUCAUGCAUGUCAUUUCAUUAGAAUCGGCAUAGAAAGAACUGUAUAAUAGAAAAUAAAUAAGUAAAUAUUAGACACAAAAUAAAACAAAGAGAAGUUACGUUUCAUUAAAAGAAUGAUAGAAAGAGGUUAACCUAAAAUAACAAGGUAAAGAUCUAAAUUACAAUCCUAGAAUGAUUUAAAUUAUAGAGAAAAAACAAACAAACUACCAAGACUGAAAAAAAAUUAAACAAACUACCAAGACUCCUUCAUAGUAGGGAGAGAAGUGGCAUCCCAAUUGUUAAGCUAGACAUCAGGGCUGAUAAACUGCAUAUCUGCAUUGCUGGUACCUUUCCCAAUUUCAACCAUAUCAGCUUCAAUGAUCAUAUUCUGGAAAAGGUCAAUCAACUCUGUAUUAUCAUCAUUCAUUGACUCUACAGCAGGUAACACAGAGGACCUAACAACACUGACUUUGAUGAAAGACUCGUGAAGUGGAAGUAUCAGCUUGGUAAGUGACCAUGACUCUUUCAUACACUUUUUAGCCUUUUUUCUUUCUUUAGAAAGACUUGUAUCCCAACCCAAAGGUACUGAGGUUCUUAUGGAGGUUUGCUGGAUGAGCCCAGCCUUGCAAAAACAUUCCUAAACCUUUUCCUGGUUCAAAACCAUACUUUAACAUUUCAUUCACUACCAAAAUAGAUAUUAAGGAUAGUAGUGGUCUUGCGGUGAGAUUUCUCUCAAGGAUAUGCUCAACAGCCACUACCUUAAAAGCUUGAUGAAUUAGCACUCUAUCUGCAAUAUCUGCUUCAAUGGAGGAAACAGAGAAGUUUUUAUACUUGUAUAAGUCUCCUUCACCAUGAACAACUAUUUCUUGCCCGUCGUGUUCAAAUUUGACCAUUUGGUACAACGUUGAUGAGACUGCUUCAGCCGUAUAAAUCCAUGGCCUUUUAUAAUAACAUAUUAUAUGAAGUAUCAAUGUUCAGUAAUUGGAAAUCCAUAGAAAAAUCCAUAGUACCAAUUGUCAAUAUGAGCUCUAUUUCACCAAUGACAUCAAUUUUUGCUUCGUCAAAACCUUUGACGUAUACAUUAUUAGGUCAGCUCCUUUCCAUAUUAACAUUCAACUUUUGCAAAAUUGACAUAGGACAAAUAUUAGCACCUGAUCCUCCAUCAAUCAACACACGAGUUGAAGGAAUGCUCAUAUUUCAUAAUAAUAUAGAGACCUCUGUUAUGUCCGGUACCUUCUACAGGCAAUUCAUCGUCUGAGAAAGUGAUCUUAUUUAUAUCAAGGAUCCUUCCAAAAACUUUUUCCAGCUAAUUCACCUUAAUCUCACUGGGAACACAUGCCUUAUUAAGAAUCUUCAUUAUAGCCUUGCGGUGAUCCUCUAAAUGUAUCAAUAAAGACAACAAAGAAAUCUGUGCUAGCGUCUGCUUCAGCUGUUCUACAACAGAAUAUUCUGGCAAUUUUAUUUUCUUUAAGAAUUUUUUAGCUUCUUCAUCAGUAACUGGCUUCUUGAGUGUCAUUCAUUCUUUAUUGCCUUAUUUAUUCUUUCUUAACUCUACUGGGGCAUUACAUCUACCAGAUCGAGUUAAUCUCCCUACUUUAUCUGCAUCUUCAAUUAUUUCUUUCCUCUUAUGCAUCACCACAACGCUAUCGUAGUUCCAAGGGAUUGCCUUGGUAUUAACCAUAGGCAACUGUGAAACUGGUUUAGUAAUAAUAAGAGCUAUGGGAGCUCUUUUUAUAAUUAAAAGAGGCUUAGUGGGUCUUCCAGGAACAAUGAGCUUUGGUUUUACUUGAACUGACUCAACACUUUCUGGAAUCUUUUUCUCCACAACUAAGGAAACAUUCGAUGAUUCGGGUUUUGUUAUCACUACCUCCACUUCUAUAGGUUUUUCCUUUGUCAAAUCUACAACAUUUGCAGAUUUUUCCAAAUCAGUUUUAAUUUUAAUGAUCGGCUUGAAGGAAAUUACAACAUCUUCACCACUGGGUAUCACUUCGAGCAUGUUUUUUUCAUUAUGAUCUGGUAACAGAUUUUGAUUAAUAUUUGGAGCGUCUGGGCUUUGCACCAUGAUCUGUUGUGUGUGAAUUAGCUCCUGAAUAGCUCUUUUCAGAUACCAAUAUUUCUCUAUGUUGUGCCCUCAGGCAUCAAAACAGUAUGCACAUCUUCUGGAAUAAUCUAAGUUUUUUGGUGGAGGAUUUGAAAUCCUUCUCGUGAUUGGGCUUAAAACAUUCAUGUCUCUCAAUAUUUAAAAUAAGCUUGCUUAAGAAAUUCCAAUGGAAGUAAAAUUAUCUUUUCCCAUGUUAGCUGUCUUAAAAUUUGCUCUAGGCCAGAAAGUAGAUCUAGGGGGAGCUUGUCAAACUUUUGAGAUCGGAGGAUGAUUUUGGAUGGCUGGUGCACACCAUUGUGGGUAAGAAGGAGCCCGGGCAUAUGAUUUUGCAUUGUAAAUAGGCUACAAGGGGGAUGGAAUGAAAUAUAAUGGAUUUUAUGUGUAUGGCUGACACACACCUCUCCAAUUUUAUUGUGGACCUAGCACAACAGUUGCUACAUCCUCUUUUCUUUUAUUUCCAUCAAAACUUCCUGCACCACUUUGAAUUGCCUGUGUUGUUUCUUUCAAAGCGGCUUGACUGAUAAUCUUUCCUGACUUAAUUCCAUUCUCUACCAUCUCUUCAACUUUAAUAACCUCAGCAAAUGUGCUUUUAAUAGUAGAAAGUAAAUAAUGGAAAUAAUCAAUUUCUUGUGCUUGCAAAAAAUAUCAAUCAUUUCAGAUUCCUUUAUUGAUGGUCUAACUCUUGAAGCCUGCUCUCUCUAUCUGACAGCAUAUUCUCAAAAACUUUCAGUCAUCUUUUUUCUCAUAUUGGCAAGCAUAGUGCGAUCUGGAACUAUCUUAAUGUUAUAUUGAAAUUGUUGAAUGAAAUCCCAAGCUAUGUCAUCCCACACGUGCCAAUGGGACAUGGCUUGUUCAAUAAACUAUUCAGAAGCUAUUCCGGACAGGCUUUCUCCAAAGUAAGCCAGCAAUAGUUUUUCUUUUUCUCUUGCUUCCCUUAAUUGUUUGUAGAAAUUUUUCAAGUGAGCUAUAGGAUCUCCAUGACCUUCGUAUUUGUCAAACUUUGGCAUUUUGAAACCCAACAACAGAUAGACAUCAGAAAACAUACAUAAAUCCUUGUAUGAAACACUCUUUGGUCCUCCUAAUCCUUGAAUAUUUCUCAUACUCUGCUCCUAGCUUCUUACUUUCCUAGCUAUCUCCUCUUGUUCCUCAUUCUUAACAAUCUUUUCUAUCAUGAUAGGAGAAUCAUGUUGAUGAGCAUGAUAAUGUGGAUUUUAGGGUUUAAAAGUCAUUUCAGGAGGAUAUAACAGAUCAUGACUUGGUUCCCCCAUAUUUCUCUGUAUUAUCGAUUGAGGGCCCGCAGUAACUGGUGUUACAGAUGUGAACAAUGGGUUAUUUAUGACAAACGGAUUUGGUGGGAACAUGGUAGAAGUACCUGUAGCCCCAAACAUAUUAGCGUACGGGCUAAAUCCAGGUAGAUAAAAUGGAUCGCUAGUUUAAGCUUGAGCAGGAUUUGGAUCAUUCGUAUUCAAAAGCCCAGGGAUUAAGGAAGGCGGGGCUUGUCUGUUCAAUUAAGCUUGGUACAUUUUUGCCAUCUGUUGUUUUAAUAACUUAAUCUCUUCCACUGAUGCUAAUUCUUGUGAAAUCAAUUAAUUUUGCUCCUCCUCACUAUCAGACCCUACACCCUCUUUGCGGGUCAUUUUUCCUUUUCCUUUGUAGCUGGUGUUGUACAAAUGUGAUGCCAGUUUAAACCAUAAACCAACCACCAACUACUUUAUCUUUUCUGUGAUCAAGUAGCAAAUGGAUGAGUGUUACACAUUUAACACAUUAUAAAGCCACGUUGUAUGUUAUGCUUCUAGAUGCAUUUUCCAACCUACCAUGGAAGGCCUUAUGUUUCAUCCUGGUUUUACUAGGUGCACUUUUUGAAAAGUUAUGAUCGAACCCUUUGGAGGGUUGCCUACAUAUCAUGCCAGGACAUGAAUCAGAUCUUGCAUAGUUUGGAAGCUGGAGAUAUGAAGAAACAUAUUUUUCUUUUAAUUUGAGAAAUGAGAAAGAUUUUUAUUUUUUGAAUUUAUUAAUAAUGAUAAAACACAUUUUUUAUUUUUAAAAAUAAAUUAAUUUAUUUUUAUAUACAGAUAAAAAAACUCUCUUCUUUAUUUAUUUAGAAGGAAAGACAAAUAUUUUUUUCUCUAAAAUCACCAAAUCCAUGAAGGACUGCCUACGUAUCUCAUCAAUGUUAGAAUUAAGUGUGCGUAGUUCUUGAGAUAUAUGUUGUACAAAACUCAGCCUCAAGACCCCAAAAGGUUCAGGGCUGUUAAGAUUUAUAUAUAUUUUAUAUUGUAAAAAUUUAGCCUCAUGAUCCCUAAAGAUUCAGGGUUAUUAAGAUAUAUAAAAAUUGGACUUGAGCAUUAGAAAAAUAAUUAUGAAAGUAAUAAUAUUUUCAAAAUAUUCUCCAAUAAAUCUAUGAAUAGUUUUUCAGAAGAUAGGGUCGUACCCCGAAAAAGGGCUUCCUACGUAUCCCGCUAAAUAGUGAGAAUCAGGCCCUCGUAGUUCAUGAAGAUCUAAACAAAAACUAUGUAUAUUUUAAUCCCUUUGAAAAGGAUAUUAUUAAAUUUGAGGACAAAAUCUUCUCUUUACAUUUCGCCAAGUUUCCUAAAAGCCGGUCAACAUUCAAAUAGCCUUCCAAACAAAUGUCAAAGAGCACGUAGGAUACACAUGUUGAUCAUUAUAAAAGGGACCCCUAUCCUAGACAGACCCAGCCCCUAUACCGAGUUCCGCUAUGUCAAAUGCAUAUGAUGCAAAUAAAGCGGAACCUAACAGGGAUAACCAAAUUCUGAGUUUCAGUUCUUCUAAGUUUAAUCUAAUUGGGAUAGGUGUCUAGAUUGGCUUACCCGAGUGGACAUUCGAGUCGGGGAGGGACAACUUGUUCGGUAGUAGUGUUACUCGGCCUUCGUUGCCGAUCCAAACCCCACCUAACAUGUGUGACUAUAAUCCUUCACCAGGUGCCUUGACGCUCAGGCUAUCUCAAAAAGAAAGUAGGAUGCAUACGUUGCAUUCCUUCUAUCCUAUUUCAGAGACUCAGAGGGUGUGCGCAAGAGAAAAUAAUUUAUAAUACAAUUCAAUCAAUAGCAAAGAAGUAAAUGAGCGACAAGUAGCACAUAAGGCCACAAACAUACUAUCAACAAUAAUUAAAACAAGUAAAAUUCAAUAUCAAAAGCUUGAAUUCUAGCUAGUAUUCCCCAGCGGAGUCGCCAGAGAUGUCACACCCUUUUUUUGCUCAAAGAUUCGAAGAUCGAAGAUUUUUUUCAAUUAUAGUGACGGUUUUGAAUAAAGAUUAAUUUAUUUUCAGAGUCACCACUUGGAAUUGAGUUAUGGUGUUCCAAGUCACCUUUUUGAAUCCCUAAUCAAAAGAAAAUGACUCUUUUAUUUGGUCUGAAAAAAUAAAACACCGAAUAAGGAAUCUUGUUGACCGAGGAUAAGGUAUGAAGCACCCCUCGAGUCCCGUGGUUCUAGCACGGUCGUUUUUAUUGACUUAUACUUGACUUAAAUUAUUUUGAUAAAUUAUGGUAAGACCUAAAUUUUCUCAUUUUUAAUUAUACCGAAAAUGUCUAUCAAUAUCUUUUAAAUUAAAUAGAUUGGUGAAAAUUAACUUUAAAAUCUAUUUGUCAAGGUGCAUUAUUGCAUCCUUGAAUUUAAAAUGUCUCGAAAAGAUGCGUAUGCCGCAUUAUUAAUUGAGAUGAAUAUUUUAAAAAACGUCUAGAAUAUACCUAAAUUUUUAUUAAUAAAUUAAAGCAAAAUUCAUUUAACACAAUUAAUUAAAUCAAUAAAUAAUUAUUAAGCUCUAUUAAUAAAUAAUAAAAUAAAUAAAAUAAAUAAAAUACACAAAUUUACCUAUAUUACAUUAAAUUUAAUAUUAUCCCUAAAAUUUAAUUUCCUUUAAGUUAACUCUGAUAAUAAAAGAAAACUCUGAAUCUAAUUAAAAAUAAAUAUAAAUCAUAAAAGUAUUGUUUACCUCUUUUAAGUUAACUUUUAAAAUAAAAGAAAAUUUUAAAAUCUAAUUGAACAUAAAUAGAAAUCCAUAAAAAAGUAUUUUCAGUAAUUAUUAGAAACAAAAUAAAAAAGCGAUUUUAGUGAUUUUUCAGAUGGAGUCCUACCGAAACAGCACCAAACGACCCAAAAUCUGGUUAAAUCUGGAUUCUAUGGCGUGAUAGAGGUGAGAGAAGCAGAAAAUGGAAGAGAGAAAGGCGGCGACAAUUUGGUCAUGAGGUUCGCCGGCGAGAAAGGGAGAAGAAGAAGGGGAUAACAGCGGCGAUGGGUUCACCGAUUUCAUGGAUUCGGAUGGGAAAAGAGAAGGGGGGGGGGGUCGGCACAUCAGAUUUGGUGGUUGGUGGUCACUGGUAUUUGGGGAAAAGAGAAGGAAGAAGGUUGGCGCCAGCGACUGGGUGGUCAUCAGAGGAAUUUUCCGGUGGUGCCAGUGGCAGUUUUCUUCACUGGUUUGCUAAUUUUCGACGAAUAUGGUGUUUCCGGUGGGCUUUCGACCAUUUAGUCUUCGGAGGAGAUGACGAUUUUGUUGAAUUAAAUCUAAACGAAACUCUUUUCUCUCUCAUUUUUUUGUCUCCCUUCAUUCUUCAUUUUUACCCUUUUUAAUUAAAUUUCUACUCCGUUAUUAUUAUAUCUAUUUUUUCCACUAUCUGUUUUCAUAUAUACAGGUGUGUGUAUGCAAUUUUUGGUAAGUGUAGAUUGUAUGAUGUAGUAUGAAAUUAUGUGAGUGAACUGUGAUGGUGUGCGAAUUGUGUGAAUGUGUAGAUGUGUGUAAAUAGUGUGUACAGUGUAUAUGAGUGUGAAAUUAUAACAAUGUCUAUUUUUCUUUUCGCUGCUAUUUCUUUUUGUUUCGAAUUUAACUUAGCAGUAUAUACAUAAACACUCAGUAAUUUAAUAUAUAACAUAUAAUAACAUAUACAUUCACUUAAUAAAUCAACAACACAUUAUGAAUAAUAUAUGAAAAUUACUUAAACAACUUUAUUCAUAUUUCUGAUUCAUAAUAAAGUUUAUGCAAUAAAUUACAUAGGAUCAAAAUAAAACCUGUGUUAAAUUAAAAAGAAACACGAAUUUAUCACCGAAAUCAUCAAGCUAAACUUUGAAACUCGAAUUCUGACUCUUUCUUCUCUUUACUUUCUUUUUGUUUUUCGUUUUACUUCACUUAUUUUUCUUCUUUUUCCCUCUCUGGUUUUCUCUAUUUUUUGAUGUAGUCAGUGUAGAUGGUGAGAAUAGUACCUAGAAUUCUGUAGGAUGUGGGUGGGGAAAAUUCUUAAAUACAGGAUUUUUAGGGGGAAAAGUUACUAUCUGAUUGGGGGAAUUUUAAAUUUUGAUUUAUUAUUAUUAUUAUUAUUAUUAUUAUUAUUAUUAUUUUUAAGAAGAAAGUAAUAAUAAUAAUAAAUAAAAUAAAUAAAUAAAGUAAUAGAAUAAUAAACUUUAUAGAAUAAUAAUAAUAAUAGCUAAUUAAUUUUUAUUUUUUUAAGAAAAUAUUUAUGAAUAGCCAAAAUAAAUAAAAUAGUACUAAACUACUAUUUUAUUAAAAUUUAGAAAACAAAUAUAUAUAUAUAUAUAUUUUAAUUUUUUAUUAAAAAUAAAAAUAAAAUAGCUCAAAACUAAUUUUAUUUAUUUAUUUAUUUUUAACUAUUUUUUUUUACUAAAAAUUAAGUAAGAGUUAAAGUAAUAUCGGAUCGAUAUAAAUAUUUAAUAUAGAUAAAUGAAUUAAAAUUCGGGGAGGAUAAAAAAUCACGUGUCUACACAACAAUUCACAAUCACCAUUUUAACAAUCCACAAUCAUUGUCAAUGAAAUCAAACAAACAAAUUGAUAUCACUAAAUAUUCAUAUCCUACUUCACACAAACUAAUCACGCGUAUAUAAUGAUAUUAAAAUGAGAACAAGAUAGAAUUGGACCUCAAAUUAGGGCUUAGUCAUGAAUUUUUUUCAAAGAAUUUCACUAAUACAUAGAGAAGGAGCCACGACCGAAACCACAUCUAGAGCAGCGAACCAACGAACUCAAUCCAAACCCAACACGGUAAUUCAAAACCAAAAUAACUCAAAAGAACAUUGAUUCGGCCGGAAUUUAUGGGCUGUUUGACAAUAGGUUUUACAGCUUGCCGGAGCUGUUUCGUUGUAAUUGUUUUGCUGGAGUUUCAGAAAGCUCGGAUAGUAUUGAAAAAUGGAUAACAACCCAAUUUUAAGGUAACAACGACAUUUUCCAGCAAAUAACUCACUGGAACUGUUAGCCCUGACUUCUUCCUUCUCUCUCUCACUCAAAUCCCCUUUUUUCGAUUCUCUCCUCCCUUUUUUCUGAUUUUAGUCAUGAUUUAUACCCUCUUCCUUGCUUCACUGUGUGUAUGAGUGUUUAUCCAUGUGAGGUGAGUAUCUCCCCCUUUUCUGUUAGUGGGUCUAUUUUUAUGUAUGAGUAUAUGAGAGUAUUCAAGGAAAAAUCUAGAAUCUCUCCAUGGCGUAGUGUGGAGUGUCUGUGAAUUAGAAGAGGAAGCGGCGUGGAGGUGUAUGUGUUUUCCCCCUACUUUCAUUAUUUUUUAUGUGUGUAGUUCAGAAUGUGUAUGUGAGUAUAUGUGAGAUGUGUGUUGCGAAUAUUGUGAGAGAACGACGGUGGCGUGUGCUCUUAUGGCUUUGAAUAGAAAUUGGGAGAGUAUCAAUGUGGGUGUGUGUGUAAUUGUUGAUGGAAAUCUAGUGGGGUCCACGUGAUGUGAGUAUAUUGUAAUAAUGGUGAGGCGUGUCAAUUCUGUUAUGGGAAAAGAGCUGCGUGUAUCAGAUUUUUUUUUUAUCUUUUUGAGAGUUUGUUAGAAAAGUGGAAUAAAGGGGGGUAUGUGGGGGUAUAUGGGGUAGGGUGUGUUUGUUAAAUUUGUUAGGGUGGGUGGUGAAUUUGUUGGGAUGAGGUGUUAAAAGUUAAGAAUUUGUUGGAUUUAUUAUUGUGUGGAAUUUAUCACAUGGGUGAAGGUCUACGGUAAAGUUAGGGUAAAUGGGUAACAAUACACUCUUGAGAGGGACAAAAUUUCAUGUCUACAAUAAACCAUGACAGUAACUGAACAUAAUACAAUCAACUAUUUAAUCUAAUAAGACAAUGGAAUAACUGAACAUAACUUCAUUAGUAAAUGCCAUCACUGAGAUGCCAAAUAUAUUAAUUCAAUUAUCCAUAAAAACUAAAUUAUUAAAAUCAACAAAUCAUUAAGAAAAUUGUUUGUUCCAAACCACCAAACUACAUAUUAUCAUCAUUGAGUUCCUUAAUAAUGCCCAUCAUAUCUACUUUAUUUUCUUCAUUUUUUUUUCUCCUUUUCUUUUACUUCUUUCUUCUCAUUUUCCUUCUCUUCUUUUUCUGAUGAUUUAUUAUCUUCUUCAAUAUUUUAAACCUCCUAUUCAGCCACUGCUUCUUCGUCAACUGCCUUCUCGAUUUUCUUUUUUUUCUUCUGUGAUGAUUUCUUCUUCUUCUUCUUCUUCUUCUUCUUCUUCUUCUUCUUCUUCUUCUUCUUCUUCUUCUUAUUUCUCUUCUUCCUCUUCUUCUUCUUCUUUUAGUUGCACCUUCAAGGCAUCGAUGGGCGUAUCCUUAACUUCUAUCGUGUAUAGCUUAAAUAUUUUCAUAUAUCUCUGCUGGAUCUCACAGACAGUAGGAGUAAGGUACAGGUUCCCGAUCUAUAAAAAAAGAUAUAAACUACAUGACAUUCACUAAUAUAAUAAUUUUAUUAUUAUCAUAUUAUAAUAAGUAUAAUUUUACCUUUAUGCUGUUUUCUUUGUACUUAAAUGGAUCGCCUUCCAUUAUGUUGUCGAACUUCAACGUGUGCCAUCUAAGUAGACGGAGAAGGGGCAAAGGAGAAUCCAAUGACUUUUCAGCGUACCUUCCUAGAUGAGGAAGGACCUCUUAUAUCCAAACCUGCAACUAAUAGAAGCAUAAAUAAAUCUACAGGAUCUAUGUAUUGAUAUAUAAAUAGGUAAGAAUAUAUAAUAAAUUGAUAAGAUGGUUGAUAAUAAGUACCAAAAAUCCCAGAAAAAGGUGUAUAAAGCGUACGAUAUAUUAUUCCUCUUCAUACAUUCUUCUUUAUGCUUUCUCAAAUCAAUCUUCUUUUUCAAAUAGAUCAAUGUCAGCCCAAACGACUCUUUUCAAUAUGGAUAUCGCUCGAAGAAAUCAAAAUCAGUUGCCAUCUUGAUGUGGUCUGAAUCAACCUUCUUUAAUGGGUCCUUUGCCAGCAACAUCGAGUGGACGAACCAAACUAAAGUGCACUUCAACUUUCGUUGAUUAGUCAAUCUAUUACCUUUGAUCAAGCUAAUCAGCCUUGCAGUAGUAAUGCUCCUGUUCUUUGUCACCUUAAAAUAAAAAUUUUUGCCAUUUUGAAGGACUUGUUGGUUUUUGAUUCACGGGGAUAUGCUAAAAAAUUCAUCCCCGCAAUCAAAGCAAAUUCCUUUAAGCCAAAAUAAGUUUGCUUACCAUUCACACAGAAUCAAAUUUCAUGCAAUUUUUUAUUAUUUUUGAUAUGUCGCAGCAACGCAUAAUGGACCAUCUGUCCAUUAAACUUAAAAUGAUCUGGUAUAUGUCUCAAGUGUCCGAAACAAGUCUUCUUAAAAUCAGCAUACAACUUUUGUUCAACUAGAAUCCUUCUAAACUCUCGAUAGACCGUCAUUCUUGUUCUUAUGAAAAUUUUUGUAGGAAAAGAACCUAGCUCAUCCAUCCAAGUUGUUAGGUCGUACAACUCAAUGGAGAUAUCUCUCACACAAAUUGACAAGGAUAGGGAUCAUCCUCCACCCCAUCUCUACUAUCUCUCCUGUCCUCAUCUUCACCGCUAUCACUUUUAUUUUCUUCUUCGCUUUUUGCUUCACUUUUUUCUUCACUAUCCUUAAUAUCGUCACUUUCAUGUGCACUACUUUCGUCAAAUUCAUCAAUCUCGACAAUGAUUUUUGAUUCAGUUUCCGACUCGAAUUCAUCGAUUACAGUUUUUUUCUUCUUCGAAGUCUUGAAAACUUAUUCGGCUUUUCACUUCUCACUGUUAUAAGUAGUGGAAGCAGGCCUUUUAACUGCUCUAUGAAAGUUUACCAUUAAUGAUCUACAACCAAAAACGAAUUUGUAGUGGUCGAUUUAUCGACCACUAAUCUAUUACAAAAAUGGGAAAAUGCAGUAAAAACAAAUUUUAAGAAAAAUGGAAAAACGUCUUUCAAGUUCCAACUUCUCUAGAUAUUGGCAGUGCAAUUCAUAACAACAAGAACACCAUUAACAUGGGUUUAAUUCAGUACAAAAAAUUCAAAAUCAAUACUCAAUAUAAAUACAAAAAUUUAAUAAUUUUCUAGUCAUUAUCCAAAGCAAAACACAAUUAAACAUGAAGAAUCGAUAAUAUUAACUAAAAGCACUCAGAUUUCGACUAAUUCAAUGAAGAAUGAUGCAAUUUUUGUUAAAAUCGAAGAGCCCCAACACAACAAAAAAUAGAACCAAAAAAAUAUACAAAUUAAAAUGCAUCUAAAACUAUUUGAGGAAGAAGAUUAAACUUAUUUGAGCAAGAGAAACUGAAAAUUUUUGACUUGGGGAGCAAGAAUCGAGCAAAAUAUAUUUUUUUAAAAAAUAUGAAGAAAAAUUGAGAGAAGAGUAUUUGAGGAGAGAUAGAAGGUGUUGAAUUUAUUAAAUGAAUUUAAAAAAUGUUUCAAAAUUUAAUAAAUAUAAAAAGGGACCAUAUUGUAUUAUUUACAAAGUUGUAUUUUAUCUCCAACUUUUAAAAAUCUUAAAGAGAGGCCCAUGAUCCCACAGUGAAAAAGAAAUUUGGUGGGUAUUCUUUAAAUUAUGUUUUCAAAGUGGGCAUUUUGCCAAAUCCCCUCAAGUUAGUGCAAUGUUUGGAAAUGCUACUUCAUAGAUCGUGUUUUUCCUCUUUUGAUAAAAAGUUUUCCAUGUAAACUUUAGGUAUUAUUUAUCUUUUUGUCGAUAAUUGAUUCAACCGAAAAAAAUUGAUACUAGAUAGACGUGUACACGGAUGUUGGGGUUUCAUGUUUUUCUUACUGUUUAUUGGGUUUUUUCUCCUUUAUCUGCAAACUUUAUAAUUAUGGUAUUAUUUAUGAAUUUGUUUUCUUUGUGAGAUGAUUUUUAAAGGAGAGCUUACUUAAAAAUCUUAACAGACUUCUGAUCUAAAGGUACAAUCUUUUUUGGUUUUGGUGGAGAGCUUUCUUGAGAAUCUUGAUGGUUUUCUAAUAUAAAAGUUCAAUUUUUUUUUGAUUUGUGAGGAUGUUUGAUUCUUGAUAGGUUUCGCAUUGUAAUGUCCAAUCCUUUUUUUUAAACUUUUGCUACUGUUGGAUAAGCAUGUCUACCAAUGAUGGGACUUCAUGUGCCUAUGUUGCCAUAUUAUUUUAAUGUGUUUCUCUUCGUGUUUGGAUUUAUUAUACUUGAGUCAAGGUCUUUCGAAAACAACCUCUUUAUUUUUUUGAGGCAUUGAUAAAAUUUGCGUACACUUUACCCUCUCAAAAUCUCAUUUGUGAAAUUUAACUGAAUAUGUUAUUGUUGUUGGCUUUAUCAUUUGUGAAAUUUUACUGAAUAUGUUAUUGUUGUUGGCUUUAUCAUUAACCUUUAUUACCUUUAGUAUGCAGAGAUGAUUGAGGAGAUUAUUGAUUUGUCUUUUUAUUUUGUGCUUGUAAUUUGUAGCAAUAGAGUCUUAGAAUAAAGAUUUAUUAGUAAUAUAUUAUAUUAUUAAGAAUUGUUUCAAGUUAACUAGAUAUUGAUCAUGUGAUUGUUAUAUACUAUCUUAGAUCUUUUUGUUAAAAACCUUUUUAACUAAUAUUAAAAUUAAUGAGUGUUUUGACUUAAAAUUUAAAAUAUCGGGUAAAUAUCUACUAAUAUUUUUGAAGUCGGAUAUUUAAGAGGAGAGUGUAUUCUUAAUGUCACAAAACAAGAAAAUAAUAAAGAUUAUGUUUUUGUCUCGAUUGAAAUGUCAAAUAACAUAUACAGUGAGAUAACAAGGUUAAAUAAAGAAAAUAAUAAAGUUCAAAAAUAUUAAUUACUUCAACUUUUUGACAUAAGCAAUCAGGAUCUCAAGAUCUAAACGAGUAGUAACUUUAAUUUGAAAUUAAAAAAUGAAAAAACUAUGCUACAUAGUAAACAUUAGUUCAUAAUUAUCAUAUCUAAUCAAUGUAAACAUGGGUUGUGGUGCAGCGGAUGAAGCUGCUCCACCAUUAAUCACAGGUCGAGGGUUUGAUCCUGAGCAUGAAGAAAACUCUAUUGGGAGCGCUACCCCCUGAAUGGGGCCCUACCCAGCGCGAAUCCAGAUUUGUCGGGCUCCAAUGUGGGUACCGGACACUGGAUGAGAAACCGAAAAAAAUAUCUAAUCAAUGUUGAAAAUAAUUAAAAUUUAUAGAUAAGUUCUAUAAGUUCAGCUCUCUCUCUCGCCAGUGUUCAAGGAAGAGUGAUAUGGAAAAAAGCGACAAGGCUCCGCAUCAUGUGUUACGCGAAAUGUGAAGCGAUGCGAGCGCAUCAUUGAAGUGAAUCAGUGAAAAAGAAGAAGAAGAAGUCCCAGUAGUGGUACUCGCACAGUAAAGAAGAAGAAGUUGUAGCAGUUAACUUCAAAGUUAACCUAAGAAAAUUGCAGCAGUGGCAGUGACAAUCACCGCAGUAGACUCUUUAUUUAACUUAAAAUUGACCCUAAAUAUAAAAUCAACACGAAGUAACUCUUUCUAAAAUUUAAAAUUGACCGUAAAGUUAAAAUCAACAUGAUGCGCUCACAUCAGUCAUACGCAGUGAAAGGGCUUGCAUCACUUCGCAUCAUCACAUUAUGCAACGAUACAAGCACAUUCCCGAACUAUGCUCUCGCCACUCUCCUCUCUCUAUAUGUCCCCCAUCUCUCUCUCUCUCUCUCUCUCUCACUCACUCACUCUGCCUACCUGUCCUCUCUCAUUCCUUUUUUAUUUCAUUUUUUAAAUACAAUUGUGUUUUUUUUUUAAAAAUCAAUCAUUAUUUUUUUAAAAAUUCAUAUAAAUUGUUUUUAAUUAUAUGUUUUGUACCUUCAUAUAUAACUAUAUUAUUUUUUAAUUCAGUCAUUAUUUUUUUAAUUCAAAUAAAUUGUUAGUAAUUGUAUAUUAUGUGCCAAUUGUAUAUUCAUAGUGUAUAAGUUGUAUAUCAAUUGUAUAUUUGAAUUUAAUGUAUAAAUCAUAUAUGUAUAAUUCAAUUAUAUAAGUCAUAUAUGUCAAUUAUAUAAGUCGUAUAUGUAUAAGUUGUCAAUUGUAUAUGUAUAUUUCUAUAUAUAUAUAUAUAUAUAUAUAUAUAUAUAUAUAGAGAAUAUAUAGUGUAUUUAUAUAUAUAUAUUUUGUAGAAUAUAUAUAAAUAUAAUUAUGCAAAGUUUAAUCAUGGCUUUGUAAUUAUGGUCUAAAUUUUACCUAUUUGUGAUGUUUGCUGGAAAAAAUUAACAAACUUGAAAAUUUGAAGAGAAUAUUUUAAGAAAAUUUGACAUUGGGUAUCAAGUUGGAUAUAUACAAAGGAUAAAUUACGUGACAGAGACAAUAUUUGUAUGUAAUUAAAUUACAAUUAGCAACUAAGGUUUAAAUUAAAUAGCAAAUGUAUAUAUUUUUGAUGUUUUAUAUAUUUUUCAUAUGUAUACAUAUUCAGUUAUAUAGUUCUAUUCAAUAGUCAUAUGUAUAUGUAUUUGAUAUCAUGUAUAUUUUUAUAUGUAUUUACAUAAAUAUAUUUGAUCCUCACAGAAUAAAUACUAACAAAGUGUAGCUACAAUUAUAAUUAGCCUAAGCGUAGGUAAAGGGCUGAAUUACGCCUAAAUAUUAGGUUGUUUCUGAAAUUUUCUCAAAUAGAAAUAAGGAAAAAUUUCACAAAAACAGAACCUAAGCUAUCUAAAUUAUUAGAAAUUUUAUGUACUUAAUAAUAAUUAUAAAUAUCUUUUAUUUAUAUUCUCUCAAAAUUAUGAUGUAUUUUUUUCGGUAACCAUGAUUUCCAUUUCACCAAAAAAAAUAUGUCUUUACAAAAUCAGUAUGAUUGCUCAUAAAUCACACUCUCUAUCUAUGAACUACUCAAAUACAUACAAUUUAAAAUAAAUUACACAGUUGCACCUAUCUCUAUAUAUUCAAUGAUUAAAAUUUAGCUUUGCUAGGUGCUUCUUCCAUCUGGUCACAUUUGCUCCCUUUGUAUGUAUGUGAAUUAUAAUAUCUCUACAUAUCUUGUCACUCAAUAGGUCCCAUUCUGAAAUUUGAGAGUAUUUCUUGCUCUCCAAAUGCCAUAUAUCAUCAUAACAAAAACAGCUACAAGAAUUUUUCAGUGGCUAGAUUUCAAUUUCACACCUGUUAUCAACUAUCUAUCUCAAUAUUUCAGCUUCCUAUUCUUCUUGUAAUCCCCAGCCAACAGAGCAAUCUACCCCACAUGUUCUUUGUGAAGUUGCAUUCAAAGAACAAGUGGUUAAAAAGUUCAUCAGUUGCUCCACAGAAUACAAAAGUUUUGAAAACUUGUAUACCUAUUUUGAGUAGUCUAUCUACUGUUGCUAACCUUCUCUGCACAGCUAAUCAAAAAUUAAAUUUGUGACUUGGUUGGAGAUAAGGUUGCAAGAUCAGUUUAUUCCAUGCCAUUUUAGGAUGCUAAGGUAUUUGUAACAGGUAUAAUCUCUUGAUCUGCUAUUGAAUUUUCCUCCCUGUUGAAUCUGUUGUAAUCUGUUAUUCAAAUCUCUUUGUAGUUGUUGCAGCUCAAUAAUCAACUUUCUUGUAUUCAAUAUUUUCCUAAUCACCCAGGAUACAUUCUUAGGUGUAGGAAUGUGUUCCAGAGCCUGAUGCUUUAUAUAGUAGCAGUAAAUCCAUCUUAUCCAUAGACAGUCUUUCUUCAGUUCAAUUGCCCACAAGUGUUUUAUCAUAGUAGCCUUAUUCUACAAGAUCAUGUUAAUGACAUUUAGUCCACCUGCAGCUUGGGGUAGACAGACCUUCUCCCAAGAAACAAGAGCCUUCUUGGAUAUUUCAGCAUGUCCAGUCCAUAGGAAUGACCUGCAUACUGCCUCUAUACAUUUUACCACCUUUUUUGGAAUCAAAAACCCCUGAGUCCAAUAGGAUUGCAUGCCAAAGAUCAUAACUUUUAUCAAUUGAAGUCUUCCUGCAUGUGUCAGUAGUCUUGUAGACCAGCAGACUAUCCAAGCAGUGAUCUUCUCCACUAAAGGCCAGCAUAAUGCUAUAGAGAGUUUCCUAGCAGCUAUAGGAACUCCCAAGUAUUUGAAGGGAAAGGAUCCAACACAAUAGUCAUUUUCUUCCAGGAUCUCCUUCUUUAAGUGACCAGAAAUACCAACUAAAUACAAAGAACUUUUGUCCACAUUAACCUGUAGUUUAGAAGCUUGAGACUGAAAGCUUGAGUUAGCAAUCUAAUGGAUUGCUUUUCAACCUUGCAGAACAAUAGAAGAUCAUCAGCAAAAUAAAUAUUAUUGCCCCCACUUUUUUGCAUCUGGGGUAGAACUUAAAGACUUUAUUCCUAGCCAACUAUUUCAACACUUUAUUCAGGUAUUGCAUAGCAAUAACAAAUAGAUAUGGGGACAUUGGGUCACCCUGUCUAAUACCUCUCAUACCCAGGAAUGGUUUAGUAAGGCCCCCAUUAAUAGUCAAUGAGUAAGAGACACUAGUGACACAAGUUAGGAUCCAAUAAAUUAUGAUGUAUUUAUUGCCCCCUAAAUCAUGUCAAAAUUUAGAAAGAUUUCUUUUUUAAAAAGUAAAAAAGGCGUUUACCUUUUUAAAAACACAACACAAUGGUAGGCAACAAAAUUCUUUUCCCCCUUCUCAUUCUCCAAUCCCUUCCGGCCGCAUCAUAUCCCCCUUUUUUUUUCUUUGACAAAUCCAAAUUAAUACUGAGAAUGUGAAUUUUGAGACUUUUUUUAAGACAAAUUCAAAUUUACACGACACAAUGAAACUCCGUGAACUCUGUUAAUCUAUUUUGUCGAAGAAAAGAAAAUCUGACACUUCUAGAUGAAAAGAUGUUGUUUCGAAAAGAAAAGUUGUUGAAGUCAAAAUGAGAGACAUCUUACCAAAGGUUUAAUCAUUUUUGUAUUUGAGCAUUUUAAUUCGAGAUACAUUUUUUAUUAAUUGAAGUUACAUAAUUAAGGUUAGUUCUAUAUGCAUGUUCCAGGUGCAUAUUCUUGUAUCUGUACGACUGGUUUUUUUUUUUUGAUAUGUGUCUUUUCAUAUACAUGUAUAUAGUUAGAAGAUUUCUGUAUGUAUCACUUUUAAAAAAUGUAUCUCUGCACCUGAUACAUUUUUUUUAUUGUGUAUACAUUUGUAUUUCAAAUUUCAUUUUUUAUACUGAUACAUCCUGUCUUACCAUGAAACUUUUUUAACCAAUAUUUUUAUCUUUUUUUUCAAGGUUUAAAAUUCACUGCGAAAAAUUAAAAAAGAAGAAUAACACCAAGAAAAAAUAGAGAAAAGCUAAAGAAGAAUGGAUCUGAAAGUUGAAUAUGGAGAAGAAUAUUUCAAAAAAACAUUAUUAGCUAAAUAUCGUUUUUGGGAGAUAUUUAGAUGUGAAUUAGAAGAUCUGCAAUAAAUUGGUCCUUAAAUGGGUUAAUUACCUUUACUUUUCAUAAUUACAGUGAAUUAGUUAUUCUUAAGAUGUAACAUCAAUCAUGUUUCUCUUUUAAUAUUAUGUAUCUGAAAAAUUUAGAAUCAAAAUUUUAUGAAAUUUUAGAAAAAGCCAGAAUAGAAUGUUAUUAUGAAUAAACAAAUUGAGAUUUAUUUAAAACACACUACGAAUAACCUAAAAUAGCCCAAGUUCAAAAUUUUGGUACAGAAUAGCCCAUUCCAACGCUUUAGACUACAAAUUUUGUAUUGAAUAACCCGUAAAAUGUCCCAUUAGAACAGCUUCAAAAUGUCAAACUCUUUAUUUUCCUUUUGAAAAUUUCACUCCCAAAUAAUAUCCCAAAAUCUCUAAAAUUAUCUUUCCAAUUCUCGCUAUCAGUAUUGCUAUGCUGAAUUCGACAUUAAGGGUGUUCGACAUGAAGGAAAACACUUUUCUAUUUUCUCGUAUUCGAUUGUUAAAAUUUUUGAAAAAUACUGAAUUCAACAUGAUUUUUCUUUUCUUUUACUUUUCUCACAAAAAAAUAAAAAAUAAUUUAAUUUAUAUUUAUGGUCAAAUACAACUUCAAAAAUUUUAAUUUUUCACCCCCCCCCCCCCCCCACCCCAGCCAAAAUAAUAAAUAAAAUAUUUCCUAAAUUCCCAAUCAUCUUUGGGAUUUUGUGUUAGAUAAAAAUAUUUUUAAUUUGCAUACCCGAACACAAGAAAAUAAGUUUCCUAUAAAUACUUUUUCAAAGCGAACACACCCUACAUUUUGAAUGUUUUGACAAUUCUUGCAUAAAUAAUUUUUGUAUAAAAAUAUAUAUCAUAGAGAUUUCAAAAAAAAAA